rnacentral:lncRNA from 1 species
UUUUUUUGAGUCUUUUAGGAUUAUAUAUAUCGGAGAGUAGGAUUCUUUUUACUCCUCAGUCCCUUCGUCGCUCUGGUGAGGCUUCCCGACCUAGAGUUUUGACUCUUCUCUUCGUCGCUCGGGUAUCUUGGAAUCAUUCCGAUGGUUUUGUGAAGAGAACAUUGUUCUUGGUGCCUCCUGACAUUUAGGGGUUGUGGUAGUGUCCCAGGGAGUUGAGCUCCGAGGUGUUGUCGUCACAAUUUUAUCGUUGCAGUUCUGGAAUACCUGAGUUCGCCGACAUUGAAAAUCUCCUUUAUGCAGUUGUUGGUGAGAUAACCUCGACGCCACCCAGUACUGGGGCGGGAGUUCGAGAGUAUUUCCAUAACUCGUAUAACGGAUGCUUUUCGAAGGUUGAGGUAAAUGAUUUCCCAAGGUUUCUUGGUUAUGUGUUGAAGGAUGGAUACAACUGAUGUAGGAUUUGCUAGUUUUGGGUGAGAUAUUAUGCUUCCCCUGUAUCCCCAACACAUAAUUGCAUAACCAGAAAGUUUCGGGAGUUUCAUAGGUGGGAAUUCAUGUAGCUCUAGUAUUUCUUUCCGCAGAUAGUUGGUUUGUGAUUGGGUAAUCCUUACCAAUUAUUUGUUCAUGUCCGUACCUUGUUGUUUUAUUCAUCUAUCUCCAUCUAAGUGGCUUCUCAAUUUAUGGAAGUGUGAUCAUUUAAUUUGGAAUUCAUUCGUUCAUUCUUGUUUGAAUGUUAAGUCUAUAUGUUGCAAUUUCGAUCCAUUUGAUUCAGCUUGAAUAUAUGUCUUUCAAGAUGCUAACGGAUGUCAUCCUCUUCAGAAUGGCUCCUCCAACGCGUCAGAAUCUGGAACCUCCGCCACCACCUCCACAUCCGGAGGCAUGGCAAGCUGUGAUGGCCGCCACCAACGCCAACACGCAGAUGCUUAUGCAACUCUUACAAGAGCGUAACCAAGGAAAUCAAGGCCAUGGCAACAAUCAAGUUCAGUUUGCUACCCUCAACCAGUUCCUCGCAAACCAGCCGAAGUCUUUCAGUAACUGUGUCGAGGCCACAGACGCUGACGAUUGGCUCGUGGAUAUCUGCAAACAUUUUGAGUGUAGCAACGUCAGGCCUGAGGACUUUGUCAAGUUUGCUUCAUUCCAACUCAAAGACCAAGCUGCUGAGUGGUAUCAUCAAUACAAAGAUUCCAGAGGAGGUCGUGUGAUUACCUGGGAUGAUUUCCGCCGAGACUUCAAAGCUCACCACAUUCCUCAAAGUGUUGCUGAGAGUAAGCGUGAGGAGUUCCGCAAUCUGAAGCAAGGCAGUAUGUCUGUUUACCAAUACAACAUCAUGUUUCAGAGACUCACUCGCUUCGCCAAACAAGACGUCCCUAACGAGAAGAGCAUGAUUUAUCAAUUCAGAGGUGGCCUCAGAGAAGAUCUGCAACUAGCUCUCAUGCUUUUUGAGCCGAAACAGUAUGAUGAGUUCUACAACAUGGCACUAAAGCAAGAGGAUGCUCAGCUCAAGUGCGAUGCUUCUAAGAAGAGAGUCAUGGAUGCAACUCCUUCUUCUUCUUCAACUCAAGUGGCAGCUAAGCAGCAAAAGUACUGGUUGAAUCCUCCUCCUCCGUUCCGUCAGCCUUACCAGCAGAAGAGUAAAGGUGGCAAUGGAUCUUCCCACCCACCCAACCCAGGCUAUCAGAACAAACCGCAGUCUCAUGCUCCAAGGUCAAGUACUCCUUAUCACCGUCCGCUCCCAGAGGUUACGUGCAACAAGUGUCAGCAGAAGGGUCACUACGCAAACAAAUGCUUCAACCAGAGGCGUCUUCCGCCUCCUCCUCCUGUGAUAUCUGCUAGCAAUGCAGUGGUCAAGCAUAAUCCCAAGUUUGCAAAGGUCAACAUGAUGAACGCAGCUCAGACAGAUGACUCUUCAGAAGUGAUCAUGCGUAAUCUUCCUAUUAACGAUAUUCCUGCAAAAGUUCUUCUUGACACUGGUGCAUCACUUAGUUUCAUCUCAAGACCAUUUGCAUCUAAGCAUGAGUGGGUUUUGAAAGAUUUGCCUAGUCCGUUAGCAGUUGUCUCACCGGGUAAAUGCUUGCACGCAAGCUACAUGGUUCCAGAUGUUUCUAUCAAGAUGGGUGACUAUAAGUUUCUGUCUUCUCCUAUUGUUCUUGGUGACUCGAAUAUUGAUCUAAUUCUCGGCAUGGACUGGCUUUCUAAGCACAAGGCUUAGCUUGAUUGUGCUGCCAGACAGAUUCAAUUGACACACUCGUCUGAGGAUGUGAACAUCUAUGCCACUCAUGAUGAUACCAUUUGACUGUUUUCUCUCAAUGAGAAGGGCGAGCCGAACGCCAUCUCUCAGAUUCCAGUCAUUUGUGAAUAUCAAGACGUCUUUCCAGAAGAGCUUCUAGGAAUGCCUCCUCACCGGCCAGUUGAAUUCGUCAUCGAUCUUGAGCCUGGCACGGAACCUAUUUGCAAACGUCCUUACAAGCUUGGACCAGAAGAGUUGAAGAAGCUAAAGAAACAACUCGGUAUACAAGAGUGUAUGGGUCUGAUCUGAUCAAGUUCUUCUCCUUGGGGUUGUGGUGUUCUUUUUGUCAAGAAGAAAGAUGGCACGGGCCGACUUUGUGUCGACUACUGUCCAUUGAACAAGAAGACCAUAAAGAACAAGUACCCACUUCCCAACAUCAAUGAGCUUUUCGAACAACUCAAGGGUGCUCAAGUAUUCUCCAAGCUUGACCUUCGUAUGGCUAUCAUCAGAUUCGCAUUCGUGAACAAGAUAUCCCCAAGACAGCAUUCAGAACAAGCUAUGGUUCAUAUGAAUACACGGUCAUGUCUUUCAGCCUUGUAAACGCUCCUCCAACAUUCUCUCGCAUGAUGAACUUCAUCUUCAACCCUUACACAAAUGAUUUCGUCUUGGUCUAUCUCGAUGAAAUUUUGGUCUUUUCCAAGAACAAGGAGGAUCAUGCCAAGCAUUUGAGAUUGGUGCUGGACAAACUCAGAGAACAUCAGUUCUAUGCGAAGUUUUCAAAGUGCAAGUUUUGGCUCGAUGAGGUUCUCUACCUUGGGCAUAUCAUCUCCGCCAAGGGCAUAACUGUUAAUCCUGAGAAGGUGUCUGCAAUUGUGAAUUGGGAACCACCUCAGAAUGUGAAGCAACUCCACAGCUUCCUUGGGCUCGCAAGCUAUUGUCGAAGAUUCGUUGAGAAUUUCUCUAAGAUCGUGAAGCCUCUUUCCAACCUCCUCCAGAAGCAUGUGAAGUAUGUCUAGACGCCUGAAUGUGAUAUCGCUUUCAACACCCUCAAAGAGAAGUUAGUCACAGCUCCAGUUCUGACUCCUCCCGAUGAAUCCAAACCAUUCGAGGUUUUCUGUGAUGCUUCCCUGCAAGGUCUCGGUGCUGUGUUGAUGGAAGAGAAGAAAGUUGUGGCCUAUACCUCUCGCCAGUUGAAGCCCAACAAAAAGAACUACCCCACUCAUGACCUCGAGUUCGCGGCAGUUGUCCAUGCUAUUUUAACAUGGAGAAAUCUCUUGUUGGGAAGGAAAGUGGACAUCUUCACUGAUCAUAAGAGCCUCAAGUACAUCUUCACUCGGCCCCAACCUCAACCUCAGGCAGACUCGUUGGGUCGAGAUGAUUCAAGAGUAUAAUUCGAGUAUUGAAUAUACUCCAGGCAAGGCCAAUGUCAUUGCUGACGCUUUGAGCAGGAAGGCUUACUGCAACAGUUUAAUUCUCAAGCCCUUCCAACCGGAUCUUUGUGAAGCUUUUCGCAAACUUAAUCUCCAAGUUGUUCCUCAAGGAUUCCUUUCCAACCUCCAAGUCUCUCCUACUUUGGAAUAUCAAAUUUGUGAGGCACAACUUCUUGAUGCCAUGGUGAAGAAGGUGAAGAUUGGGAUUGCCAAGAGCCAACCCAAGUACAAGUGCUAUCGCCUUGAUGACAAAGAUACUCUAUUCUUCGAGGAUCGAAUCGUUGUUCCUAAGGGUGACCUUCGUAAAGUCAUUAUGAACGAGGCUCACAAUUCACUCCUAUCUAUUCAUCCUGGAAGUACAAAGAUGUACCAUGACCUCAAGCAGUCGUAUUGGUGGACUCGAAUGAAGCGAGAGAUUGCUCAGUUCGUGAAUGAAUGUGAUGUCUGCAGAAGAGUGAAAGCAAAACACCAACGGCCAGCUGGUCUCCUCCAACCUCUUGCCAUUACAGAAUGGAAGUUUGACCAUAUUGAGAUGGACUUCGUGACUAGAUUUCCCAAGUCCAAGCGUGGCAAUGAUGCUAUCUUUGUUGUCAUCGACAAGCUUACUAAAGUGGCUCAUUUUCUUCCUAUCAAAGAAUCUAUCACAGCAGCUCAGUUGGCAGAGCUAUACACCUCCAGGAUUGUCUCCUUGCACGGAAUUCUAUAGUUUAUAUCUUCAGAUCGUGGAAGCAUCUUCACUUCUAAGUUCUGGGAUUCCUUCCAGAAGGCCAUGGGCACCAACAUUCGCUUCAGCAUAGCCUUCCAUCCUCAAACUAGUGGACAAGUCGAGCGAGUAAAUCAAAUUCUUGAAGAUAUGCUCAAGGCUUGUGUCAUUUCCUUCAGUAUGAAGUGGGAAGAUUGUAUUCCAUAUGCCGAGUUCUCCCACAACAACAGCUUCCAAGCAAGUUUGGUUAAGGCCCCAUUCGAGAUUCUCUAUGGCAGAAAGUGGCGUACUCCUCUUAACUGGUCAGAGACUGGUGAACACCAACAUCUUGGCAAUGACUUGAUCAUAGAGGCUGAAGAAAUGUGCAAAGUCAUUCGUGAAAAUCUCAAAGCCGCACAAUCGCGCCAGAAGAGUUACUAUGAUAGCAAGCAUCGUGACUUGGCUUUCGAGAUCGGAGACCAUGUCUACCUCCGUGUCUCUCCAAUGAAAGGUACUCGUCGCUUCGGUAUCAAAGGGAAGCUUGCCCCUAGAUACGUGGGUCCUUUCAAGAUCAUUGGAAAAAGAGGCGACCUCGCCUAUCAACUUGAGCUUCCUCCUGCCUCGACGUCCGCCACCGCGCCGCCCCCGUCGCCGGCAGGUGCUCCGGCGACUGGAUCCGGGGCCGCCGUCGUCUUCCCCACCUCCGGCCUUCUUCCCCGUCUCCUCCGGCGAGAGCUCCGGUGAUCCUCGAAGUCCACGUGCAUCAGAUCCAGAUAUGGAUCGGGUCAAGACCUAGGGUUGACCCCGAGAUAUUUCUAAGUCAUUUUCUGCAUAUUUUAUAGCUCUAUUCAUUGCAUCAUCACUCUGCAUCCAUAGCUCCGUUUUGGGCGUGCCAUAUAUCAAAAUGUUCAUUAGGAUGUGCUCUUCAUUUUGUUACAUUGCAUCAUGCUUGUUUGAGUCCAUCUUGAUGCCCUAAUGACUGUUGCAGGAGUUCUAUAAAAUGUUAGUUUCUGUUUCUAAACAGAUUAUGAGCAUUUGUCAUUUUUGCCAUGAUUAUUGUGUGCCUACUAUGGACUUGAGCUCUAUAUGUGUUUUGGGCUAUGCCAUGCCAUCUUUACAGGGGUGUAUGCCAUGUAUUUUUGUGAUAAAUGUGAUGACUAGCACAUGCAUGCAAAGUAGCUCUCGUGAUGUUGCUGAUUUCGGGGACUUAGAAUUUCACUAAGUCAUUUCUCUAUUGUUAUUUUUAGGCCAUGUAUUCAUGUUGCUACAGAGUGAUCCAUGCCUCUUUUGAGUAUGUUCAGUAAGGAUGAUUUUGACAUAUGGUUAUGCUCUAUCCAUCCAUGUCCUUGUUUGCAUUUAUGGAGUCCCCUAGCAUAACUCAAUCUUGCUCUACUUUUGCUAUAAAAUGUUCCUGGCAGAUUGUUUACAUGUUAAUCAAUUUUGCCAAGGUUGUUGUAGUUGAUACAUGCAUGCUAUGAGAUGGUUCUUGCCAUGGUUAGCUUCUUGUAGAUGUAUUCUUGCUGGGUGUAUGCUUAGUUUGUCAUGCAAUGCCUUGUGUUGAGUGCAUCGAGCUCGCAAACAUGCCUACGUAACUCUGUUUUUGCCAUGUCCAGUUUUCUGAUGUCUGAAUCUGUUAACGAAACUUGCUAUGUUUACAUGAGUGCCAUCAUAUUUUCUGAUCCUUUUUGACUUAUGGUCAGUAAGGGACUUUUGUUAUAUGCUUUUAGUAGAUUCAUGUCAUGCCUUUGUUUGCUAUGUUCCGUUCCUGUAGCAUGUUGAUAUCUUACUCUAAACAUUGCUUCUUGAUGUUAAUUCCUGGCAUGUUAGUAUUUUCACAAGUCUGUGAAGCUGAUAUCUUUUGCACUUUUGUCAUGCUUGUUUGAACCUGCUCUUGUGUGAUUUAGUCGUAGCUCAGUCUUUUGUCAAGCAUCUUGAGUAGAUCACUGCCAUGUGCUUUGCUGCUAUGUUAGAGUGCAGUAGCUUAGUUUCUUGUUGCAUUUUAGAUGGCACCAUGCUGUUAAUCGCAGAAUCGUGCCAUUCUUGUUUUGCUUGCCAUUUGCAAACCAUGCAUCCGAUUCCAGUGAUCUUUAUAUCGAUUUCGACCGAAAUCAACUCAUCUUUCUAGCGGCGCACUUGGUUUGCCAAGUUGAGGCCUGGUUCAAUCUUUUCCUUCCGGAGCACGCAUAUUACAUCCCGCAUAUCAUGCCAUGUUUUGCAUCAUGUUGCUUGCGCAUUGCAUCGUGGUUUAUUGUGGUUUCUUUUGCUUGUGUUCUUGCCUUGGGUAGAGCCGGGAGAUGAGUUCGUGAUCGAGGAACCCAUUGAGUACGCUAUCGAGGAUCAAACUUACGUCAACUCGGAGAACUUUGCAGGCAAUAUGACCAUACCCUCGAAAUCACUUCUAUCUUUGCUUGCUAGUUGCUCGCUCUAUUGCUAUGCCUAUGCCGCGAUACCUACCACUUGCUAUAUCAUGCCUCCCAUAUUGCCAUGUUAAACCUCUAACCCACCUUGUCCUAGCAAACCGUUGUUUGGCUAUGUUACCGCUUUGCUCAGCCCCUCUUAUAGCGUUGCUAGUUGCAGGUGAAGAUUGGAGUUUGUUCCUUGUUAGAACAUGAUUAUUGUUGGGAUAUCAUUAUUAUAUCUUGUUUACUUUAAUGCACCUAUAUACUUGGUAAAGGGUGGAAGGCUCGGCCUUAUGCCUGGUGUUUUGUUCCACUCUUGCCGCCCUAGUUUCCGUCAUAUCGGUGUUAUGUUCCUUGAUUUUGCGUUCCUUACGCGGUUGGGUUAUAAUGGGAACCCCUUGACAGUUCGCCUUGAAUAAAACUCCUCCAGCAAGGCCCAACCUUGGUUUUAGCAUUUGCCACCUAAGCCUUUUACCCUUGGGUUCCGCGGACUCAAGGGUCAUCUUUAUUUUAAACCCCCGGGCCAGUGCUCCUCUGAGUGUUGGUCCAACUUGUCAGCCGCCGGUGCCCACCAGGGGCAACUCUGGGUAGGCCUACCGAAAGAUUGGACAAUCCGGUGUGCCUUGAGAACAAGAUAUGUGCAGCUCCUAUCGGGAUUUGUCGGCACAUCCGGGUGGCUUUGCUGGUCUUGUUUUACCAUUGUCGAGAUGUCUUGUAACCGGGAUUCUGAGUCUGAUCGGGUCUUCCUGGGAGAAGGAAUAUCCUUCGUUGACCGUGAGAGCUUGUGAUGGGCUAAGUUGGGACACCCCUACAGGGUUUUGAACUUUCGAAAGCCGUGCCCGCGGUUAUGGGCAGAUAGGAAUUUGUUAAUAUCCGGUUGUAGAAAACCUGACACUUAACUUAAUUAAAAUGAAUCAACAUCGUGUGUAACCGUGAUGGUCUCUUUUCGGCGGAGUCCGGGAAGAGAACACGGUCUCGUGUUAUGCUUGAACGUAAUUUGUUCUAGGAUCACUUAUAGUUCACGACCUUUGCUUUGCUUCUCUUCUCACUCUUAUUUGCGUAUGUUAGCCACCAUAUAUGCUUAGCGCUUGCUGCAGCUCCACCUCACUCCCUUUUCCUACCCAUAAGCUUAAGUAGUCUUGAUCGCGAGGGUGUGAGAUUGCUGAGUCCUCGUGACUCACAGUUUACUUCCAAAACGAGAUGCAGGUGCCGAUGAUGCCAUUACAGGGGAUGCAUUUGAACUCAAGUGGGAGUUUGACGAGGAUUCAGGACGUUACUAUGUUUCCUUUCCAGACGAUCAGUAGUGGAGCCCAGUUGGGGCGAUCAUGGAUCUAUUGCAUUUGGGGUUGUCUUUAUUUUGGUUCCGUAGUCGGACCUUGAUUGUAUCCUGGAUGAUGUAAUGCUAUAUUUAUUUAUUGUGUGAAGUGGCGAUUGUAAUCCAACUCUUUACCUCUAUCUUAUUCAGUACAUGGGUUGUGUAAAGAUUACCCCUCUUGCGACAUGCCUACUAUGCGGUUAUGCCUCUAAGUCGUGCUCCGACACGUGGGAGAUAUAGCCGCAUCGUGGGUGUUACACCCCUCCCCCAUAUAUAUAGGUGGGAGGGAGGGAUAAACAUCCAAGGGGGGCGCCCAAGUAGGAGGAAUCCUACUUGGGGUCUUUCCCAAGCCACGCCCCUACCUUAUAUAGGUGCGAGGAAAAGGCACGGGAGGGGGCGCCCCCCUUUUCCUUUUUCCCAUGAGAGGGAAACGGCAGGAGGGGCUAGCCCUCCCCCUUUCCUUCCCUAGGGCUGGCCGGCUAGGGAUAUGGGCAUACCAUCCCCUUGUUGGCUGCUCUGUCCUCCCUUGGCCCAUCCCUUAAAGUGACCCGAUGGCUACGCGGUGCAUCCGAAACCCUUCCGGUGUCCGAAUACCGUCGUCCGAUAUAUCAAUCUUUACCUAUCGACCAUUCUGAGACUCCUCGUCAUGUCUGUGAUCACAUCCGGGACGCCGAACAACAUUUGGUCACCAAAUCAUAUAACUCUAUAUCGUCAACGAACGUUAAGCGUGCGGACCCUACGGGUUCGAGAACUAUGUAGACAUGAACGAGACACCUCUCCGGUCAAUAACCAAUAGUGAACCUGGAUGCCCAUAUUGGCUCCUACAUAUUAUAUGGAGAUCUUUAUCGGUCGAACCUUAUGACAAGAUACGUAAUUCCCUUUGUCCAUCGGUAUGUUACUUGCCCGAGAUUCGAUCAUCGGUAUCUUCAUACCUAGUUCAAUCUCGUUACCGUCAAGUCUCUUUACUCGUUCCGUAAUAUAUCAUCCCGUAACUAACUCCUUAGUCAUUUUCUUGCAAGCUUGUGAUGUGUAUUACCGAGAGGGCCGAGAGAUACCUCUUCGAUACUCGGAGUGAAAAUUCCUAAUAUCGAUCUAUGCCAACUCAACAAACACCUUCGAAGAUACCUGUAGAGCAUCUUUAUGAUCACCCAGUUACAUUAUGACGUUUGAUAGCACACAAGGUAUUCGUCCGGUAUCCGGGAGUUGCAUAAUCUCAUAGUCAGAGGAAUAUGUAUUUGACAUGAAGAAAGCAAUAGCAAUAAACUGAACGAUCAUUAUGCUAAGCUAACGGAUGGGUCUUGUCCAUCACAUCAUUCUCCUAAUGAUGUGAUCCCGUAAUCAAAUGACAACACAUGUCUAUGGUUAGGAAACCUUAACCAUCUUUGAUCAACGAGCUAGUCUAGUAGAGGCUUACUAGGGACACUAUAUUUGUUUAUAUAUUCACGCAUGUAUUUAAGUUUCCAGUCAAUACAAUUCUAGCAUGAAUAAUAAACCUUUAUCAUGAAUAAGUAAAUAUAAUAAUAAAUAUUUUAUUAUUGCCUCUAGGGCAUAUUUCCAUCAGUCUCCCACUUGCACCUAAAGGCAAUGAUCUAGUUUACAUCACCAUGUUAUUAACACCCAUAGUUCACAUCGCUAUGUGACCAACACCCAAAGAGUUUACUAGAGUCAACAAUCUAGUUCACAUUGCCAUGUGAUUAACACCCAAAGUGUACUAAGGUUUUGAUCAUGUUUUGCUCAUGAGAGAGGUUUAGUCAACGAGCGUGUCACAUUCAGAUCCGUAUGUAUUUUGCAAUUUCUAUGUCUAUAAUGCUCUGCAUGGAGCUACUCUAGCUAAUUGUUCCCACUUUCAAUACGUAUCUAGGUUGAAACUUAGAUACAUCUGGAUCGGUGUCAAAGCUUGCAUCAACAUAACCCUUUACGACGAAUUAUUACCUCCAUAACCGAGAAACAUUUACUUAGUCCUCUUUAAGGUACCUAAGGACAAUUUUGACCGUUGUCCGGUGAUCUACUCUUGGAUCACCAUUGCACCCCUUGCCAAACUCAUGGCAAGGCACACAAUAGGUCUGGUACACAGCAUGGCAUAGUUUAUAUAACCUAUGUCCGAGGCACAGGGAAUGACUUUUAGUCUCCCUCUAUCUUCUGCCAUGGUCGGGCUUUGAGUCUUACUCAACUUCACACCUUUCAAUACAGGCUAGAACUCCUUCUUUAACUGAUCCAUUUUGAACUCCUUCAAAAUCUUGUCAAGGUAUGUAAUCAUUGAAAAUCUUAUCAAGUGUCCUGAUAUAUCUCUAUAGAUCUUGAUGCCUAAUAUGUAAGCAUCUUCACCGAGGUAUUUCAUUGAAAAAUUCUUAUUCAAGUAUCCUUUUAUGCUAUCCAGAAAUUCUAUAACAUUUCUAAUCAACAAUAUGUCAUCCACAUAUAAUAUCAGAAAUGCUACAGAGCUCCCACUCACUUUCUUGUAAAUAGGGGCUUCACCAUAAGUCUGUAUAAAACCAUAUGCUUUGAUCACCUCAUCAAAGCAUAUAUUCCAACUCUGAGAUGCUUGCACCAGUCCAUUGAUGGAUCACUGGAGCUUGCACACUUCAUUAGCACCUUUAGGACCAACAAAAUCUUCUGGUUGCAUCAUAUAAAACUCUUCUUUAAGAAAUCCAUUAAGGAAUGCAGUUUUGACGUCCAUUUGCCAAAUUUCAUAAUUAUAAAAUGCGGCAAUUACAAACAUGAUUCAGACUGACUUAAGCAUCACUACGGGUGAGAAGGUCUCAUCGUAGUCAACCCCUUGAACUAGUAGAAAACGUUUCGUGACAAGUCGAGCUUUGUAGAUGAUGACAUUACCAUCAAUGUUUGUUUCUUCUUAAAGAUCCAUUUAUUCUCAAUGGCUUGUCGAUCAUCGCGCAAAUCCACCAAAGUCCACACUUUGUUCUCAUACAUGGAUCCUAUCUCAGAUUUCAUGGCCUCAAGCCAUUUAUUGGAAUCUGGGCUCACCAUAGCUUCUUCAUAGUUCAUAGGUUCGUCAUGGUCUUGUAACAUGACUUCUAGGACAGGAUUACCGUACCACUCUAGUGCGGAACAUGCUCUGUUCGACCUAGGAGGUCCAGUAGUAACUUGAUCUAAAGUUUCAUGAUCGUCAUCAUUAGCUUCUUCCCUAGUUGGUGUAGGCAUCAUGGGAACAGAUUUCUCUAAUGUGCUACUUUCCAAAUUGAGAGAAGGUACAAUUACCUCAUCAAGUUCUACUAUCCUCCCACUCACUUCUAUCGAGAGAAACUCCUUCUCUAGAAAUGUUCCAUUCUUGGUGAUAAAGAUCUUGCCUUUGGAUCUGUGGUAGAAGGUGUACCCAAGUGUUUCCUUAGGGUAUCCUAUGAAGACACACUUCUCCGAUUUGGGUUCGAGCUUAUCAGGCUGAAGCCUUUUGACAUAAGUGUCGCAACCCCAAACUUUAAGAAAUGACAGCUUAGGUUUCUUGCCAAACCAUAGUUCAUAUGGUGUCGUCUCAACGGAUUUAGAUGGUUCCCUAUUUAACGUGAAUGCGGUUGUCUCUAAUGCAUAACCCCAAAACGAUAGUGGUAAAUCGGUAACAGACAUCAUAGUACGCACCAUAUCCAAUAAAGUAUAGUUACGACGUUCGGACAUAAGGAUGGCAAUGGAUCGGGUUCAGCUCGGGUUGAACAAUAUCAAAUCCAUAUCCGAAUCCACGAGGAUAUUCUUUGCCCAUCCAUGAAAAAACCCACGGGUAAAUAUUGUGUCCAUGUCCAAACCCGAUGAAUAUCCAUAACCAAUGGAUAUCCAUCGGGUCCUAUCAGAACACGUAUACAUGUACCUUAAAAAAUCAUAUAACAUAGCACAACAUUCACAUGAAGACUCAAAUUCUCGAAAAAAUGCAUUGCAUAGCUACACAACAUUAAAUACCUUUACAAAUGCUCAUAAAAUGACAUCAAACAUGUGCAACACAUGAAAUGUGCUCUCAGAUUCUCAUAAAAUGACAUAGCAGAACAUCAAGUAAGCACAAGUACGAGAUUCUCAACCUUAGUUUUCAUAGAAUGACGUAGGAACAGCCCAACAUAAUUUCUCAGUCUUACUUUGUUACAAAAUGACAUAGGAAUAGCCCAGCAUAAUUUCUCAGUCUUAGUUUCUUACAACCAGGAGACAUAAGUACAUCAUAGUUCUCAUCGUAAAUGAAAUAAGGUGUUCUUCUAGGUGUCUGUCUUCUUUCUUCACCACAUGGACUAAGCUUCAGUUAUGAUAGAAAUGAACUCGUCCUCGUUGCGAUCAGAUCAUAAAAAUAGUAACUAAUAUCAUGGAAAUAAACAACCAAUCAACUAUAACGAGUGGAAUAUGUAACCAUAGUUUCUUCAUCAUCAUCAAGAACACUUUGAAAUGCCAAAAAAGGAGUGGAGUUGCUAUCCCCUGAUGCAAGAUUCAAUUGAUGAAGGAACACUCAGUAACAAAUUAAAUAUUGUGUAAUAUAAAUUAGAUGAAUGAUUGCAAUUUUAGUUAAAGUGAAAAUAGGUACAUAAUGUGUGAACUAUACAAAUUCAGAACAUAAAUUGUAAUUUUUACAACCAAAGUAACUAAUAAUUAAAACCAUAGACUGUCAGAUCUUUCUUCAGCACAUGACAUGGACCAAGUUGAGCACAUGCUUUAAUUGAAACAAAUCUCUUGUCUGCUCUAUACAAAUUCUAGAUUUAUAUUAAUCAUUCAUAGCCCACUUGAUCAAAAAUAAAAAAAAUGAGCAGACUAAUUUUGUAAAAAUUAAUUACUAAUUUACACGCAUAUAUAUAUAUAUAUCAGGUCAUGUGUACAAAGCGGAAUCUGACUGAAAUCGACUAAUACAAAUAUCCUGUUCCCUUGUUUUCUGAUUUGCAAUCAGAUUUCUAGUCUAAUCUAACUGAAAUUGUCCACUACAGAUCAGGUAAUGCAGUAAAGUCCAAAAAAAUCUCUUGCCAUGAACUAACAAACAGAAGUUGACCACUACAAACCUCUUGUUCUCUACUCCAAUUACUAAUACAAAGUGAUGAACAAGCACGUCAUGCACAUCCAUGGACAAGAACACUAUACAUACAUGAGCAGGAACAACAAACUUACCUUGACAGUUGGCUGUUUGGCGUGGUCGUCGCCUCCAUGAUGCGGUCUUGCUCCUCGCCGUGUGUGUUGUGGGUAAACUCUUGGUGGUAUACAAUUGUCACUGAUUGAUGAAAUCAUCACCGACGGGUUCCCAGUAUGGUCCGUGUGCGAUAUCAUUGCACACAGAACAACAACAUAUGUACUUAUAAAUUAUAAGUACUUGACUCUAUAAAAAGAUUGAACAUCUAAUUAUAUAUGUGGCUAGUACACACAUGAUCUUUGCACACACCAAAGUAUGUUCCAAAAUGCCUAGAAAACUCAAAUAAUGUAUAAAAAGGCAAAACGAACCGUGAAUAAUUUCAUAUUUUUAGGACGACACUACUAUAGUUGCAUGUUGCCUCUGUAUAAAUCAAGGCGGGAAGAGACAAUGUAUGUCGUUCCGCACACAUAGGUGACAAGGUCCCUCUCGGAACCAUGAGCCUUUUUGAGAGAAAGUCCGGUUUGUAAGAAGUUUUUAGCAAAACUUGUCCCAAAUUGGACUAUUUUUUUACCACAACAUGUUGGUGCUAUGUCAUAACACCAUGCCAAGUUUCAUGAUUUUGAGGCGAGUUUUGGAUUUACAGUAAUUUUAAAACUAGGUUUCUCAAUGUUUACUAUCGAGUCGGCACCGCCCUGGAUAGGCUUUUUCCUCAUGGGUCCCAAAUGAAAAAUCCAAAUCUGUCGCUACCAUGCAGCUUUUCUUAUUAAUAAUUACAGCCCAUUUGGUGUGCUAGCUGAAAAUAAGUUUGUGGGUGCUGGUGGGGGCUAAGAACUUGCGGAUCUGUAAUGAACAAAGAUCUCAAGGAUUCCACGAGAGUGAGGUUCUUUCCCUAUGUUGUGAAUGCUUAUAAUAUUUAUGUCUUAAUUAAAUAAAUGGCAAGCCAUUGGCCCAGUAUGAAAGAAAAUAUGGGUCAAAGCCGAGUUAAAAAGGGAAACAAUAUCUAACUCCAGAUUACAAACAGUAGAAAAGCACGAGGAUUAAUUACUCAUCAGGUUUAGACAAAAUCCAGAUUGAACAGGACAAUGACAUCUAACUCAACCAAAGUUUUUGGCAGUCACAAUCAAAUGGAUCGGUCUGAUCCAUAAAAUAAAGAUCCCGGGCCGGAAAUUCUACUGGUCCAUGAUGACAAUCUAUUGUAAAUAGAAGUCAAGCAUGAUCAUAAGCCUUUAGGUCCACUUGAAACUUCUUUUUAUGUUGUUCAACACUUGCAGCCGUAAGAAAACUCUUGUCAUAAAACUUAAUCCUCACGGACAAUAGUGCCCUCGCAUUCAACAUGAAGAAUGUGGCAAAGCUAGUGUUUGCAUUGUUGGAUGCAUAUCCUUCCAGCAUAACUGUCUUCAAACGAAUGACAUAAGAUCUGAGAAAAUCCCGGUGCUUCUUGAACCAUCGAUUGGUCAUACUUUUUUCUCCAUGUAUUAGUGCCUAAAUAGAGACGAAGAUUGAAAACACUUAAUGUCUAAAAAAGAUUAUGUUGAAAGAGUGACAGUUGAACGAUUAAUUAUAGUACAUAUAUAUGGGCUUUCAAUGUGCGUGAAAUCAUCACCUUUAUAUACAAAUUCUCCAAACAUGGAAAGCAUUGCAGCAAGCCAAUAAUUAUGUUCAGAUCAAAACACCACAUAAAGAUAUGUAAGGUCUUGACAUAAUCCACCAGCACUGAUAGGAUGGAGAAGCUCUUCAUUGAGCAUAGAAUAUAAUAUUAGUACCAAAAGUGUACUCCAAGAUGAUACUUAUGCGCACAAAUGAAAAAAGUAGAUUAGAAAAGUUUACAUGAAUAAUAUACAGUACCUCAAUAGGUGUGGAGCCAAACACCAUCUUGAACCAUCUAAAAGGAUCACGAAUUGCACCCAAGGUCUCCAGUUUAGGCGCGUAGACUACAGUCAUUUGUGAAGUUACUAUAACAGAAUCAAGGAGCAACCUUUGAAGUGAAGGGGCAUCUUCGAUGAUGAGAUCAUGUCAAAAAAACAAAUUCCCAUGCUUACAAGGUGGGGUGACUUUAUUCUGAGACAAUGGAGACGAAUUUCCAUUCCAAAAACAAGCAGCAAGCACUCCAGGGCAGGGCAGCUGGAGUGGAUGAUGUUGUGCAGUGCGGCCUCUGACAGAUCAACCACCACAAGCUCAAGUUUUUUUAGCAGUGGGAGUCGAAGCAUUUGUACCAGAUUGUCUGCUAGAUGGAACUGGGCGAAGGUAGUGGUGUGGAGAGAGGAGGGAAACCACGAGAUGGACAUCGGUGGUGAGGGCGCAGAUACAUCGGUUCGUGGUAUGUUACAUACAUAGUCAUGGUAGAACUCAAGCUGCUAGAGUUUAUCGAAUUGAUGGGAUGUUAGCCAGGCGGCCACCGUGCUGGGUAUGUCCAGUAGGUAGCAUGCCGAGGAUGCAUAUGCGUUAAACGGAGCCCUGGUGGGAGGAGAUGAUGGCUCCGGGGAGUUCAGAAUCAUCAUCGAUGGAUAGGUCACGACAGUCGAGAUUAAGAGUCGUGGCGCACCAUAGAGUGCACCACCGAGAUGCGAGGACUUGUGUGCGGCAGCCAUCCUUGGUGGGGAGAAGGGAUAUGAUCUCCCCAAGGAUGUCAUCCGGGAGAUCGCUGAUGCGGUCCGUCGGAGAUUCUACUGGUUCCUUAGGUCCAGGGGGCAUGGUCGCUUCUGGCCGCGCAGCCAGGUACAAGAUCUACAUCCGGCAGCGGUGCUGGCCGGAGCCUCAUCUGUGUACAUACCAAUCUGAAAGAAAAAAAUGGCAUAAACAUACAUGUAGGACAUUCAAAAUCAAUUGUCAAGAUCUGGAAGAAAAAAGGCAUACACAUAUAUGUAGGACAUUCAAAAUCAAUUCUCAAGAUCUAGCCACGAAUUAUUAGCACGCAAGCUAACCCUAGUCAGAUUAUUAGCAAAAAUCAUUUGUACAGAACAAACAAUUAAUCACUAACUCUAUACGGAUAACAUUCAAACAAUCAAUACACUACGUGCAUCUAAUGAAUCUUACUUACUCUGAUUUCAUGGACUAAGAGAACAUAAACAUAGGAUUUGUAUUCCAAAAAAAUCAUAGAGGGGGAGUAACCAGAGAAAACACAUGAUAUGUUUGCCGCACAAAUGGGUAUAUAGAUGACUAACCGGUUUUCCGUCGGAGUCGCAGUCGUUGCCAGAGUUGGUGUUGACCUCCGGCUCUGGCUGCGGGGGCAUGACGGCACCGACCAAGUGAAGAUCGUGCUGCUGCCCGCACGGACCUCGUCGGCGGCAACGACAACCUCUGUGCCCAGCUUCACGCGUUGCGUGGGUGCUUCACCAGCCCCGGCAUUGCCACUCCCUCCAAUGGUGCGCUUCUGUGGCAUCCUCAUACACUCCAGAGUCCAGAAGUUGGUCACCGCUAUGGACCGGGGGUGCGGCCGCCUAUUAUGGUCGGCGGAUCGGACGCGCAAUUAAUACGGACCAGGGGGAGCAAGGCAGGCUGUGGUCAAAAGCUGUCUCGCCUCCCGAUGAGCCUGCGCGACGGACUUCAGCCAUUCCUACCAUCAUUUCACACAGCUACUUGCACACCUCCCAUCAACACGCACACCUGAAUGCACGCCUCCCGGUAUGCCUGCACGGCAGACUGCUCGCAUGCGUCCCGUCAACUCACGCCUGCUCGCAUGGCACACGGGGCAUGUGGCAGCACAUAUAUAUUUUGGUUUAUUGAUGAUUCAUUCUGCCGCUUUACUCCUUAACUGAAGCAUGGCAUAGUUUAAUGCACAUGGUCCGAAUAAAUAAUCCGUAUGAGAUAUUGGUUGCCAGUUUUUAAUAAUCUCCUGUUUGUAAGAAGAUUAUAUCAAAAUGGGUCUCAUUGAUGAAAAAAUACAAUAUCACAGUCUACUAGUGUCCAUAUAUGACACCACGAUAAGUUUCAUGAAUUUCAACUAAUUUUUGGAUUUACUAAAUUUUAAAAAUAUAUAUUCUCAAUAUUUUGAAAUCUCUUGCACAGGGAAACAUGCACCCAGGGACACAUAUGAUUUUGCAACCCAUUUUGGUGCACAUGUAGCUCAGAUUUGAUUUUUGCACAUUAAAUUCCUAGGAAAUCAAUCAAUGUAUAAAAAUGGUCGAAUGAUGUCUGUUUUUUAUUUUCACAUGACACUCCGCCUUUGGUCACAUGUUCACUGCAGAAAAAGUUUGACAUGCCUUAGAGUGGUUGUGGUGGUGCGGGAUCUGUGUGUCUGUGUGUGGGGGGGUGGGGGUGGGGGGAGUGGUCCGGCAGUACACUACGAGUCGUGAACCUCUGUGUGGGAUUAUUGAUCAUUUUGUGAGUCAUAUAUGCCACAUCAAAGUCGUGAAUUGGUUAUUUAAAGCAUUACGCAGCCCUUUCAUACAUAAUUUUCGGGCCACAUGCAUGCAUUGGUGGUCGUCUCGGACACUCUCCCUCGUGCGGUUAUCAGCGAUGUGCCCAUUCGUUAGCACGCAAAGUUUUUUCAGUUUCCACUGACAAUAAGAGGCAUUUUACCAAAAGGUGGAUUCAUCUUGGCAUGUGUGUGGUGUGGAUCAUGAUGGGAUUCCAUAUCAAAGUUCGAGCACGUGCGUACACACUCCCACUGGCUUCAAGUGAGGUGGCUACACGCGUAGUGAUGCAGUGCGUUUCCGGUUAGCGAAGCAUGUGCCACAUCAAUGUUGUGCAUUGGGUAUACAAACAUUAGAUAACACACGGGCGCAUGCACGCAGUGGUUUUUUCCUAUGACAUCACUCGCGUGUGCCUCUCUCUGUGGGCCCACGAGGUCAUCGUCGACCAGUUCAACGUACAACGAGAGAGAGGUUAAUUUGACCAACAAGGAUGGUUCUUUUUUGGUUUGUGUUACAUAUAUGCAUGGUAUAGGAGUAUGUACAUGUCAAAGAGGGGCAACAUGAAUACUCUAUAUAUAUCCGUGUCAUAACCUCGCUCCAUGUGGGGACUUUCUGGUUCCCGAGGCAGGUGCCACAUCAAAGUUGUACAUUAUAUUCGUAUUCAAACAUCACGCAAUACCAUGCAUGUGGUGAUUGCCCUAUAUAUAGGAACUCACUCGCGUGUGGCACUUCCAUCCAUGGGCAUGCGAGGUUGUACUCCAUCACUUUGACCCAAUGAGAGAGAGGUUAAUUUGAUCAUCAAGGAAUGAUUCUUUUCUUGUUUGUGCUAUACAGUAGAAGUACAUAUAUAUAUAUAUACCACGCGUCGAAUGGGGGCGUGCAUAUAGCACAUACCGCGCAUCAUGAACCUCACGCGCUCUAUGGGGACUUUUUGGUUUUCUAUAUACGUGGUGCCACAUCAAAGUUGUGCAUUGCAUAUUCAAACAUCACACAAACAGCUCUUUGGGACACAUGCAGAUAGUGGUACCUAGUCUUAUAUAGGAUGAUCACUCGCGUGCGAUGUAUGCUUCGCUUCUGUGUUGGGCCCAUGAGUUCGUCGUCCAUCACUUUGACCCAGUGAGAGAGAGGUAUGUUUUACGAACAAGGAGGAUUAAUUCUUUUAGGGUUGUGUUACUAGGUGUAUAUAUAGUACGUGUCGAGGGGGGUGACCAGCUUGGUCCAUCACUUUCACCGAUAGCGCAAGAGAGGUUAACUAAUUUGACUUAGGAGGGGAUUAAGUUUUUAUUUUGUCUUGAUAUAGAUCAUGAUGUGAGAUUACAUAUAUAUAUAUAUAUAUAAUAGAGCAUCUGUACACAUGAAUCCAUCCUGCUGAAUCGAAGGGGGCGAGCACACAACAUCUCAUGAAUGACCUCUUGCUCUGUGUGGGGACCUCUGCGAUUUUCAAUGCAUGCACGACAUCAAUGUUGUGCAUUGGGUCGGGUAUUCAACACAUAUGCAUGCAUCACACACCUCCAUAAAUAUGUUCGGGCCACACGCAUGCAAUAAUGGUUGUCUUUGGACACACUCUCACUCGCUUGGUUAUGGGCAGCAAGCCUAUAUAUAUUCGUGGGCCCGCGUGGACGUCCAUCAUUUCAACCAACGAUGAGAAAGGUUACCAGGGUGGAUUCUUCUUCUUUGCUUCAAGUUACCGUAUAGUAGGUCGACCCAUUCCAAGCCUAAUUAAGUUUGAGCGCAUGCUACGCGUCGUGAACCCUAGCUCGGUGUGGGGAUUUUAUGGUUCCAAAGCAUGGUGCCACAUCAAAUUUGUGCAUUGGGUAUGCAAACAUCACACACGCCACUUCCAUAUACAUACUUGGGCCACAUGCACAGAGUGGGUUUGUCUUCAUACAGUACUCCCUCGCGAGGUUAUCCGCGACAAGCUACCCAUUUUUCGGGGACGUGUGGACGUCCAUCACUUUGACCAACAACGAGCGGGGAGUGGUUGUACGACCAAGUUGGAUUCUGCUUGGUCCGUGUUAUAGUACGUCUUGGUGAGAUGCCCUCCCCUAAUGUGUGUGUUGGGGCGGGCUACUUCGCGCUACCUGCAACCUCCGUGGGGUCAGGGAAGUCCGGUUAAAUUGCGAGGCACACGUGCCACAUCAAAGUUGUGAAUGGUAGUUAAAGAUCACACACCUUACCCUUUUCAUACAUAUAGUAGGGCCACCCGCAUGUGGUUCGUAUGUGGUCUCACCCAUCUCGUGCCACAAGCACAAAUUUGUGGGUCGGCACAUAGUCCACCUUUGUCGGGAAGUGAAAGGGGAAGUUUGACCAUAUAUAUAUGAUGGACUCCUAUAGGUUUUGUGUUACGGUAGGGUGAGAUUUCAGACCUAGCUAUUUGGGGGCAUGCAUUCAUAGCUAGGAUUCCCUUACCGCCGACACGAAGUGGGGUUCGUAGGGGGUGGCUGACUAGCAAUAUUGUGCUUUUGUGCGACAGGUGCCACAUCAAAGUUGUGCAUUGGGUAUUCGAACAUCAAACCACCCUUUUCAUACAUAUAUUUGGUCCACAUGCAAGUGUGUUCAUGUUCUGACCCUCUCCCGCGUUAUUCUUUUUGCCAAAUUUAUAAACAGCACACGAGUUGGAUGUAGAAACCGUCUGUGAUUGGGUACGCAAUAGAAACGGUUCGGUCAGACUACCCAUGUGCCAUGCCCGUGCCCUAUAGUCCCUCACAUCAGCACAGUAGAUUGGGCUCCACGAGGAUUGCCUCCCGGUCUCGAAAAUAUCUACCACCUCGUAAUCUCGAAAGUAUCUACCACCUGGAAGGUUUUAAUGUUUGAUAGCAGACAAUUAGUAUAUGCGGACCAUGUGUGAUGUUUGUUACUCCCGCUCUGCUUCAUUCCCUUGAUUCAAAUUUUCAGUAGCCCCGGCAUUUUACUCCCGCCUCUGCAUCCCUCACAAUCUCAAAAAUAUCUUCUUGCCCUUGAUUCAAAUUUUCAGUUGCCCCGGCAUUUUACUCCCGCCUCUGCAUCCCUCGCAAUCUCAAAAAUAUCUGCUCGCCCUUGAUUCAAAUUUUCAUUUGCCCCGCAUUUGACUCCUGCCUUUGCAUCCCUUGCAAUCUCAAAAAUAUCUGCAUGCUCUUGUUCCAAAUUUUCAGUAGCCCCUCCUUGUUACUCCUGCCUAGUAAAAUUUUUAGUUGUCGCAGUAUUUCCUCACACACCACCUUGCCCCCCCUCCACACACACCACACACUCCCCAAAACCUCCGCUCACACAGACACACACCACCCCACCCUCGAUCGAAACCAUUGGUAGGUUACCGCCGCCGCCUCCAUCCACAACCUCUAUCUGUGUGCCGGGGAGCUUAAGGAGCCAAUGGCCAAAAAGAGGUUUAUCGCGGCCUCUUCGCCUGAUGUCGGCGAGGUGGCCGCCGAGGUGUCCUCGUCAUCGUCAUCAUUGAUCGCCCGAUCCUCCCACCGCCGCACCCAUACGCCGGUUCGAGGACUUCCUCGUCCUACCUCGGGGUCCGGCAGCGGCGGUGGGGGACGUGGGUCGCCGAGAUUAUGAAUUGGGAGACCCACACCCGCCGGUGGCUCGGUAGCUUCCACACAACUAAGCUCGCGGCCAAGGAGUACAACCGCUGGCAGGUCCGCUACCACGGCGUGGCAGAUAGGCUCAAUUUCCCCUUCGGCACAUGUUUGGUCGACCUCGUUCUGCCAGAGCUAGGGGUGGGGAGAUCGGCUAUGGUGCGGGAGGACCGCUAGGUGUGGGAGCGCCUCGAGGCCAAGGCCGCUGACGAGACCUACAUGCAAGAGCUCCGUCGGCAGCACCCGGAGCUCAUGGAGGCGGAGGGGUGAUCUUUGCCGGUGCGAAGGGCGGUGAGGUUAUCGUGCUAUCCUUCGAUGACGAGGUUGAAGGCGGCAAGGAUGGCAGUGCGGAGGGCAUCGAGGUGGGCGGCGAGGACGAGGAGAUUGACGUCGAUGAGUGGAGGAAUGUCUUCCCCAACAACCCCGACAACGGCGCCGGCCCGGACCUGGCUCGCGGCACAACAUACCUGACGAGGAAGGAUUGGCUGGACCUCCACUUCGACCGAAAGUAGUUUAGCUUAGUUUAAAUUUAUGUUUUAUGUUCAGUUAUGCAAAACUAUCUAUGUUUAGGUUUGAAUGCAUGCUACUUUCGAUUGAACCUGCUUUGAACUUGAUCAAAUUGCAGUUUACAAUGUUAAGUUUAGGGGAUCGACCAGAAACGGCAAAAAAUUGUUGGAGUGUAUACACGCACAAUCACACACACACACACACACACAAGCACACACACUAAGGGUUUUAGUGUGUUAACUUUUAAUGGAUCUGCUAGAGAUGGACUUAUGCCUUGUUUAUUUCAGUUCUUCACAAUGUGAUGCUCUGUAUGUGCAACUAUUUGCCGUGUAGUUCAAUUUCAUCAAUAACAGUUUUAGCAGUACCACUAUGAAUUACGAUAUUUGCUUGCUAUUAAGGAUGUUGCAGUUAACAUGCCUUUUCAUUUUUUAACAAUAACUACUAUACUUUAGACCUGCACAAUACCAGUUUGAAUGACUAUUUGCUUGUUUUUAAAUGUGCCUGAUGCAGUUAACACACCUUUCCACUUCUUGUAUUGCUUAACUUGAGUUCUUAAGCAUGCACACUGAAGCUAUCAUUUGUAGAUUAUGAUGUCUACCAUGGAUAUAUUUGGUUGAUGUAGUAAAAUCUUAUAUAAUGGGAUGGAGGGAGUGUUGUACUACAUCAUUUUGCAAUUGCUGUUUAGCUUCUAAUAUUAACUUGGUGCUUUUAGGUACAUAUGUCAUUGCCAAAGAUCCAAACUUCGACCCUUUCUGCGUAUGGGGCAAUGAGAUAUUCGUGAACCAGCAUCAAGUGAGGAAACUGAUAAAGAUUGUUAUUAAAAUGGGUCAAAAGAUGUUAAUAGAACUAUUUGUUUACACUUUAUGCAAGACAACCGUGAACUGCAGGAUGGUAAGUAAGAACCCUGUAGCCUUCUUUUUACUGCCCGUAAUGAGUUGUGUUAGAUGAAAAUGUCUAAAUCUUUUUUCCUUUGCAGUGGAUCCUGAAGCAGUUUACUCAAGAUUACCUCUAAAACAACAUGAUUGGCGGCCGGCCAUCACAAGGGGUUGGACUAGAGUUGGGCGUGCCUUCUGCAUCUAGGAGAGCACAAUAGGGCCAUUCCGCUUCACCUUGUUCAACAACCAGAAUGUUUGUCGCCUCUUUCUUUACCAUCUGUAAUAGUACAAGUAUAGAACCCUGGUUCAUCAUUCUUUAUUUGGUGCUUAUGUAAUUCUUAAACAAAUGUACAUGUGCAUCAAAUAAUGCAUUGGUUGUUUGAACCUGAUGGAUAUGAAUAAAGCUAUAGACUACUUUCAAGUUCAAAUUAGGUAUAUUUUUAAAUAGCAACAUUUAAAUUAGGGUGAAAUUAUGGUGUGUAGGUCAUUAUGGCGCACACGGUCAAUAAAGCACGGCGUGUGCUAUAUACAUCAUAAUCUGACAUGGUUCACGGAGAGGAAACGUGUGUAACAAUGCACACAAUUGCCGUUUGCAAAGCGUGUGUGAUGUCAGGCACUAUCACAUACGGUGCGGGAAAACUAAACGUGUGUGAUUGUCUACCUAUCGUACAUGGUUUAUAAUCAUGAACUGUUUGUGAUGUGCUUGGCAUCGUAAACGUAGAGCCAGUUUGGUACGUGCCUGGAAAACUCCCGCGCUGGCCAAAAAUUCCGCACCAAGUAGAGAUACUACUUUUGCAUCUAAAAACCCUUAAAACCCAAAUCUUAUUUUCAAGCGUCCACCAUACCUACCUAAGGAUUGACCAAUAUCCUUCAAGUAAGUUAUCAUCGGUGCAAUAAGUCAAUAAAAAUUGCUUCUAAAAGUGUUAGAUCAUUUAGUGUAAGAGAAAAUUGAGGGUUGUAUGAAAUUGUGAUGGCAAGGAAUAAAAGCAACAGACUGCAUAAUAAAGGUUGCUAUCAUAAGGGGCAAUAUAACGUGAUGUUCUUUUGCACUAAGGGGUUGAGCAUACAGACAGAUAAGCGCAUGGCAACCUCUACUUCCCUCUGCGAAGGGCCUAUCUUUUACUUUUAUGUAUUUACUUUCAUGCAAGAGUCAAAGUUUUUCUCUCUAUUCCUUUUUAUUUUUCUCUUUUGGAAAGCAUCAUGUGGUGAGGAAAGAUCUAGGCACAUAUAUCCAGUUGGAUAUGGGUAGCAUGAGUUAUUAUUGUUGACAUCACCCUUGAGGUGAAUACGUUGGGAGGCGAAAUUAUAAGCCCCUAUCUUUCUAUGUGUCCGGUUGAAACGUUUUGCUCGUGUGUAUGCGGUGAGUGUUAGCAACCAUGGAAGACUAUAUGAUGGUUGAGUAUGUCGAGCUCUUACAUAGACUCUGUUGAAUAAGUUGAAUUGCAAUUGCUUGGUGACUGAGAACAUAGGUUGUUGAGUUUUAAGAGAAUUCAUUGUUUGGACCUUAACAUGUGAAUUGGUUGUUACUUUAACAUGAAAAGUUUUAUAAGAAAUAAUUGAUGUUAUGAUGCUAGGAAAAGUGAUUGAAAUUUUCAUUAAUCAAACUUGUGCACUUUGCUAGCAUUCACACUUCAGAAAUUAUUUCUUUUAUCAUUUACCUACUCGAGGACGAGUAGGAAUUAAGCUUGGGGAUGCUGAUACGUCUUCGACGUAUCUAUAAUUUAUGACGUAUUCAUAUUAUUUUAUUAUCAUUCUUGGAUGUUUUAAAAUCAUUUUAUAGCAACUUUAUAUCAUUUUUUGGGACUAACCUAUUGACCCAGUGCCCAGUGCCAAUUGUUGUUCUUUUGCUUGUUUUUUACAUCACAGGAAAUCAAUGUCAAACAGAGUCCAAACACCAUGAAACUUUUUGUGGAUUUUUUAUGGACCAGAAGACAUCCAGUGGGCCAGAGCAUCACCCGGGGGGUGCCCUGAGGGGGGCACAACCCACCAGGGCGCGCACAGGUGGUUGUGCCCACCUCGGUGGCCUCCCGCACCCCCUCUUUGCCCUAUAAAUCACCAAAUAUUCCCAAAACCCUCAGGGUAACCCUAGAUCAGAAGUUUCGCCAUCGCAAGGCUCUGUAGCCACGAGAAACCAAUCUAGACCCCAUUCUGGCACUCCGCCGGAGGGGGAAAUCAUCAACAGUGGCCAUGUUCAUCAUCCCAGUCGCCGCCACGAUGAGGGGGGAGUAGUCCACACUCGGGGCUGAGGGUUUGUACCAGUAGCUAUGUGUUUAAUCUCUCUCUCUCUCUCUCUCUCUCUCUCUCGUGUUCUUGAUAUGGCACAAUCUUGAUGUAUCACAGGCUUUGUUAAUAUAGUUGGAUCAUAUGGUGUUUUCCCCUCUCUAUCUUGUUGUGAUGAAUUGACUUUUCCCUUUGAGAUUUCACUCUUGUCGGAUUGAAUACUUUUAUGGAUUUGAGAACACUUGAUGUAUGUAUUGCAAAUGAAUACUCAUGGUGACAAUGGGGUAUUAUUUUGAUUCACUUGAUAUAUGUUUUGGCACUCAACUCGCGGAUUCCCGAGGUGACAUUGGGGUAAUCUACGCAUAGGGGUUGAUGCAUGUUCUUGUCUUUGUUUCUCUGGUAGAAAUCUUGGGGCACUCUUUGAGGUUCUUUGUGUUGGAUUGAGUAUUAUGAAUCUGAAAUUAUUUGGUGUUAUUUUAGUACGAACUCUUGGAUAGAUCGAUCGGAAAGAAUAGCUUCGAGGUGGUUUCGUACCCUACAAAUGAUUUCUUCUUAUGUUCUCCGCUAGAUAAGAACUUUGGAGUGAUUCUUCGUUACACGUUGAGGGAAGGUUAUGUGAUCCAGUUAUAUUAGCAUUGUUGACAGAUUGCACUAGCGAAAGUACGGACCCUAGGCUUCAUUUUCAAGCAUUGCAAUACCGUUUUUGUGCCCGUUUUCUAUUUGUUACCUUGCUGUUUUUAUUUAUUCAGAUUAUAAGAAUAUAUUUCUACCAUCCAUAUUACACUUUUAUCACCAUCUCUUCACCGAACUAGUGCACCUAUACAAUUUUCCAUUAUAUUGGGUGUGUUGGGGACAUAAGAGAUUUCUUGUAUUCUAUUGCAGGGUUGUUUGAGAGAGACCAUCUUCAUCCUAUGCCUCCCAUAGAUUGAUAAACCUUAGGUCAUCCACUUGAGGGAAAUUUGCUACUGUCCUACAAAACUCAGUGCUUGGAGGCCCAACACGAGUCUACAAGAACAAGUUGUGUAGUAGACAUCAACCACCAUCAUCUUGUGCUUUUGAUCUCCAUCUCCAAAGCAUCUUCAUGAUCUCCAUCUUCACCGGCUUGACACCUUAUUCUCCAUCAUUGCAUCAUUGCGUCGAGGUAGUCACGCAAACUAUUGCUUUUACAACUAUCACUAACGCAUAGUGAUAAAGUAAAGCAAUUACACGGUGCUUGCACUUCAUACAAUAAAGAGACAACCCUAAGGCUCCUGUCGGUUGUCGAUAUUACUAAACAUGAUCAUCUCAUACAUCAACAUAUAUCACAUCACAACAUGCCCUACAAAAAUAAGUUAGACGUUCUCUACCUUGUUGUUGCAAGUUUUACGUGGCUGCUAUGGGCUUCUAGCAAGAACCGUUCUUAACUACGCGAAAACCACAAUGGUGAUUCAUCAAGUUUGUUGUUUUAACAUUAUUCAAGGACCGUCCAUAGUCAAAUUUGAUUCAACUAAAGUAGGAGAAACAGACAUCCGACAACCACCUUUUAUGCAAAACUAGUUGCAUGUCAGUCGGUGGAACCGGUCUCAUGUGCGUGGACAUGUAAGGUUGGUCUGGGCCGCUUCAUCUCACAAUAACGCUGAAUCAAAAUAAGACAUUGGUGAUAAGCAGUAUGACUAUCACCUCCCACAACUCUUUGUGUUCUAUUCGUGCACAUCAUCUACGCAUAGACCUGACUCGGAUGCAACUAUUAGCGAACGUUGCAUGGAAAACAAAAAAAAUCUACGCACACGCAAGAUCUAUCCAUGGGGAUGCAUAAGGAGGGGGGAAGUUUGUCUACGUACCCUCGUAGACCAUAAGCGGAAGAGUUUAACAACGCGGUUGAUGUAGUCGAACUUCUUUGCGCUCCAACCGAUCAAGUACCGAAUGCACGGCACCUCCGCGUUCUGCACACGUUCAGCUCGGUGACGUCCUCCACCUUCUUGAUCCAGCAAGAUGGCGAGGUAGUAGAUGAGUUCCGGCAGCAGGACGGCAUGGUGAUGCUGAUGAUGAUGCAAUCUCUGUAGGUCAUCGCCUAAGCACUACGAAAAUAUGACCGAGGGAGUAAAUGGGGGGACAGUGGUGCCGCACACGGCUAGGAAAUUGUCUAUUGUGUGCUAGGCCCCCCCCCACAUAUAUAUAUAUAGGUGGGAGGGAUGGAGAAGCAGCCAAGGGGGGCGCCCAAGUAGGAGGAAUCCUACUUGGGGUCUCUCCCAUGCCGCGCCCCUUGCCUUAUAUAGGUGCGGGGAAAAGGCAAGGGAGGGUGGCGCCCCCCUUUUCCUUUCUCCCAUGAGUGGGAAAGGAAGGAGGGGCUAGCCCUCCCCCCUUUCUCUCCCUAGGGCUGACCGGCUAGGGAGAGGGGAGAACCAACCCCCUGUGGGCUGGUAUGUCCCUCCCUUGGCCCAUUAAUCCCAUAACACCUACCGGAGGUGUCCGGAACCCCUUUCGGUGACCCGAUGGCUACCCGGUGCAUCCCGAAACCCUUCUGGUGUCCGAAUACCAUCUUCCUAUAUAUCAAUAUUUACCUAUCGACCAUUUCGAGACUCCUCGUCAUGUCCGUGAUCUCAUCCGGGACUCUGAACAACAUUCGGUCACCAAAUCACAUAGCUCAUAUAACAUUAUAUCGUCAACGAAUGUUAAGCGUGCAGACCCUACGGGUUCGAGAACUAUGUAGACAUGACUGAGACACCUCUCCGAUCAAUAACCAAUAGUGGAACCUAGAUGCCCAUAUUGGCUCCUACAUAUUCUACUGUCGGAUUUCGGGUUCCGGUAGACCCUUGAGGUUCGAACACUGGGGUGCGCGCGGAGAUUUUGCCUUCUACCUACCUGCACCCCUCCACCUCGCUAAGAUCUAAGCUAUGGAAAGAACAACACAAGAGACACAGGGUUUAUACUGGUUCGGUCCACCGUUGUGGUGUAAUACCCUACUCUAGUGUGUGGAGUGGUGGAUUGCCUCUUGGGCUGAUGAUGAUGAGCAAUACAAGGAAGAACAGCCUCGCGAGGGUCUGUUCUUGGCUGGGGCGAUGAACUGCUGGGAGGAGUUCAGUCACCCUUCUCUCUCUCUCUCUUCACAAUUGUUGAUCUGAUUCGAUCUCCUCUCUACUCGAUCAUUAGUCUCGAUCCCCAACCUCUCGAUGCUUGGUCUCGAUCUCCUCUCCCCCGAUCCUGUGGGUGGCUGGUCCUAUUUAUAGAGGCCCUGGUCCUCUUCCCAAAUAUCGAGCGGGAAGGGAGCCAACAAUGGCGGGCUAAUUUGAAGGGGGACAGCUAGUACCAGCUAUCCUGACAAAAGUAGUCUUCGCCUGCACAAACCUCUGGUGGUGACGCCGUCUUGGGCUCCAUAAUGACCUCCAUCUUGCAGUCCUCCUGGUCUUGGUCUUGUUGCACCGAAAUGGCAACCUUUGCCUGAUGCCUCGGUACUCCGCGGCUACGCUUGCCCCCUUUGCACCAAAGAGGAAAGGAGGACACUGCGCGGGCUGGCACCCGCCUGGCGCCCUUGGUCGUCAUGGCUUGCAUCACGGGCACCUUGUGAGGUACCCCGCCUUGAUCUCUCCGCCUCCUUGCGAGCCAGCCUGGUGAGGCCGUGCCUGAGGAAGCUCCGCGUCGUCCGCCCCGCGAGGCUUGGCCCCUCGCGAGGGUCUUGGGUCUGUGUUGGUGAAGAUUGUCCGUGUUGGGCCCCCCUUUGAGCCACGUUGCAGGCCGCAGGCAGGCAAGUCUGGGGACCCCCGUUCCCAGAAUGCCGACAGUAGCCCCCGGGCCCAAGGCGCACCCGGACUUGGCCGUGCGGGGAGGCGGAAGGGCAAGAGCGAAGCACCGCGGGCCCUAACAGCCUGCAGCCUUGGGCGCCGCGUGGCGGUUGAUUGGACGUGGGUGUCUCCACUUCCCCAUGGUGCCUCGGCAACUGCACGGAUUGGACAAGUCCCUGCAUGCAAAGUGGGUCAUGAUUACCUGCGAUCGUGGAGGUCGGCGGUUGGCCUUCGCCGGCCAUAAGUACGGAACGACACGCGCCCUUCUAGUCCAUCCCUCCUUGCUUCUCCUUCUUCCCGGUCCUUGCUCUGUCUUGCUGUGAUGGCUCCGAUCCGCCGGUUCCCGACGGCAGAGAAGGGAAAGGCUCCCCGAGAGGAACCAGACCCGCUCCCGCCGAAGAAACGGCUCGUCCUCCGUGGCCUGGAUGAGGGGGCCCAUCAGGUGGUGUCGAGGCCUUGGUGCGAGCGGGCACCGCCGGGGUUCCCGCUUCCCUUGUACGCCCACAUCGAGGGCCCUGGAGGAGCUGAUGCUGAUCGCCACGGGCGGCGCCGCUGUCGGCGCCGACGGGUCACGAAGGUGUGGGUCGUCCCCCUUGGGGUCCACACCGAGGGCUCCUCCCGAGAGUUCGUGCUCCACUUCGCCAUGCCUCCUCAGUCUUGGAUUCGCCUUCCUCCCUUCUUUGCCUCCAUCAUCCCGCAGGGAGAACUCCUGGAGCUUUGGCUGCAGCACGCCGGCUGCAGCACCCUCGCGACCGAGGCAGAGGUCGCGGUCGUUGCCCCGGGCGAGGUCUUCAUGACUCGAGGCUGGAGCGAAAUCGCCCGGGUUUGCAGGACAAGAGGCGCCUUCGCGAUCCACUUGGAGUACGACGGUGCUUCGGUGAUGUUCUUCAAGGUCUUCGAUGCGAACGGGCGCCGGCUGGAGUGCUUCCCCAGGAGAGGUGGCCGGGACCCUGCUGCGGCGAGGACUGGGCCCGCCGACCGCUCCCUUGGCGGCUCCUCAGGCGGUGGAGGCGUCGGAGGUUCCAGCGACUCCGGCGAGCUCUUUGCGACUCCGGAGACGAGCGGAGAUAGCUACGAGCCCCCGAGUCGGCGCCGCUCCUGGAGCAGGGCGGGCUCGUCAGGCCGCUGCCGACUCUGAUCUGGAUGGGGUUGGCGCCGGUGCUUGAUGGCCCACUGUUGAUGAUGGCGUCUUUUGCAGGGGCGCACGUAGUUAGUGUCCCUUUAGGAUCUGUUCCCUGCGAGGAAUCAAAGACGCGUCCCGUGGGGGCUUGUAAGGUGCCUGUGAUCCUGUUUUGUUAAUAUAACCCUUGUCGUAGAAUUGUGCGAGUUGCUCAUUCCGUCUUAGCUCAGUUCUCCCUUUCGAACCUCACGAGGGCUUGGUGCUCUGCGCCGACAGGUCCCAGUCCCAAGGCGGCUUCAGCCGUCGCUGGUAUGCCAGGUCGCGAUGCCGUGGUCAAGGCUAGGAGGUGAGCGACCUGGAGUCCGGUAAGAGCCCCUGAGUCGCGAUGCUCAGGAGGUCCCCUUUGGCGCUCAAGCAGCCAUCGUUCGGUGAGAAAGGGGAGCGGCGUCGCUAACACGGGAUUGCAUUAGGUGCGGGGAUGGUGCCACGGUAGCUGGCGCUUCCGGGUGGUGACUUAUCUCGAGAAUCAGGGGUCGCUCUCUGGUGUGUCGCCGGGUCCGUGCAUCGACAGGCGUGAGGUUGCUCGGCGAGGUCCUCGCGUGUCCCUCCCCUCUCGCCUUUGCUCCCCUUUCUGCUCUACGUCCUCGGGUCACAGCCCUCGAGCGAGUCUCAGCCGUCGCUGGUAUGCCAGGUCGUGAUGCCGUGGACAAGGCCAGAUGGUGAGGGCUGGAGAGNNNNNNNNNNNNNNNNNNNNNNNNNNNNNNNNNNNNNNNNNNNNNNNNNNNNNNNNNNNNNNNNNNNNNNNNNNNNNNNNNNNNNNNNNNNNNNNNNNNNNNNNNNNNNNNNNNNNNNNNNNNNNNNNNNNNNNNNNNNNNNNNNNNNNNNNNNNNNNNNNNNNNNNNNNNNNNNNNNNNNNNNNNNNNNNNNNNNNNNNNNNNNNNNNNNNNNNNNNNNNNNNNNNNNNNNNNNNNNNNNNNNNNNNNNNNNNNNNNNNNNNNNNNNNNNNNNNNNNNNNNNNNNNNNNNNNNNNNNNNNNNNNNNNNNNNNNNNNNNNNNNNNNNNNNNNNNNNNNNNNNNNNNNNNNNNNNNNNNNNNNNNNNNNNNNNNNNNNNNNNNNNNNNNNNNNCGUGCAAGCAGUUCACGCGGAUGAGAGUGAAGGAGACACCGCAAGGGCCUCGCCUGACGCAGCUCCUUUAAGAGAUCCUGUAGACCCAUCAGAGAAAGAAUGAGGGGUUGCCACGACAAUUGACAGUCAGCCGUUGGUUGCUUCCGAGGGGUAAUGAGGCACUGAAAGCUUGACGAGGUGGCGCCAUGCGGGGCUGCCGCGGCUAGAGCUCGGCCAUUCAGGUUUGUCGGCGUUGCAGGGACGGACCCGUGCGCAAGCGUCGUGCCGUUUGGGAGCAGUUCCGUCAGUUGAGCGGGCAACUAGGUCAAGCACAUUAUCCGCGAAGGAGUGGAUUCAUUCAAAUAGAUGCUGGGAAGGCGGACAUCACUGGGUCAGGCCCGAGCGACUUGGGGAUCAUGCAGCCCGAGGGGCGCCCCCAACAAGGUAAGCUAACAACAUGAAAUAAAAGGGAUACACGCCGCAGGGACAGACCCACGCAGUCUGGGAGUAAUGCAGCCCUGGGGGGCGCUCCCAGCUAGAAGUGAAAACUUGAAAGAUGUCACCUGAUGACGUUGAGGACGAAGGGGUGUUGGUGUAGCAGACUCGGUGGGCUGCGGAAGCCGAUCCUCACGAGCCCCCAGGCCCAGGGGCCUCGGGAGGCUCCGGAGGCGCUGGUGGCUCCUCGCGGACCAUCUCCAUCUCCGCCAGGGCUGCGGAACGCCUGGCCUCUUGUGCCUCCAUGAUGCCCCUCAUGAGGCGCUGAUACGUGGCAACCGCGUUCGGCAAGCCGUAAGGCAUGCGAACGUAGAUAUGGGGUGGACCUCCGCAGCGCCCCACUCGCGAGGGACAGAGGCGCUCCAGAGAGGUGACUCGAUUGAGCCCUGGUAUGUCGAUGCAGAUGCGCAGCCCACCAUCCUCGCCUGGAUGGGGAGCCACUGCUGCUAGGCGGCGGCCGCCUUUCAUGACUCUUGACUGCUGUAGCUCCUGAAUGCCUUGCUGACGAACUCCUGAGGGUCUGGCUCUCCUUGCCUUACUCCUUCUUGAGGGAAACGUGCUUCGAAACACACCUCCAUGUGGUGCCCAAGCGCCUCCCUCAUGACCUUAGCCAGGUCGGUGGCCCUCCAGGGGAGAGCCCCCGAGCCCUGCCUGAGGAGGGCGCCGGGCGCGCUUUCCUAUGUGAUGGAAGGAGGUUCCCCCUGGGCAGGCGUGGGCCCAGAGGGGCCUGCCUCCUGAGGGGUCGAGCCGGACGAUGUCUUCUUCUUCUUGGGGGCGGUCUUGGGAAGCCUCCUGCUUCCGCGAUCCGGGUCUUCCAGUGACGCGGCCUGAAAGGCUCGUUCCAGGGAACACACCGCGUCCUUCUCUUCACAGGGCACCGUGAUGACUCCGCCACUUCCUGGCAUCUUGAGGAUGUUGUAGCCGUGGUGAGUUACGGCCAUGAACUUGGCCAGCGCCGGGUACCCAAGGAUGGCGUUGUACGGCAGGCGAAUGUGAGCGACGUUGAAGUCGAUGAGCUCGGUGCGGUAGUUGUUGCAUGCCCCGAAGGUGACAGGGAGGCGUACCUACCUAAUCAGGACCGUGGAGCCAUCGGUGAUUCCGGAGAAAGGCUUGGUUGGCUGAAGCUGGCUGUAGGGCACUUGGAGAUUGUUGAAUGUUUCCAUGGACAGGACGUUGAGCCCUGCCCCGCCAUCGAUGAGGGUCCUGGUGACCACCAUGUUGCUGAUGAUUGGGGAACAAAGCAUCAGGAGGACUCCGGCUGUAGCCGCACACUUAAGCUGAUCUGCUGAGCUGAACGUGAUGGCGCACGCCGACCACCUGAGAGGGCGCGUGGCUUCGAGCUUGGGGAGGACUGCAUUCACUUCGCGGGCGAACUGCUUGAAGAUGCGUUGAGAGGCUGGGGCUUGAGCCCCACCCAGGAUGCAGGCGAUCGCGCGCGGCUCUUGGAAGCCCCCAGCCCCCUCGUCCUGGUGGCGGUCCUCGUUUCUCCUUGGCUGCGGCGGCAGCGGAGGGAGGCCUGCGUUGCCUUGCGGGCGAUCCUCGCGAGGCUGAUCCCUCCAGUCUCCCUCGCGAGGUGGGUCUUGCCAGCGAUCCUCGCGAGGUUGAUCGCGCCACCCUUAGCGCGGGCCACGGUCUUCCCAGCGUCCUGCGUUCCUUCCUCCUCCUCGACCAUAGCCCCGGUCACCGCGGUCAGGGCGACGGCUGAUCCUUCCUUCUCGCACGGCUCAGAGCUCUUGACAUUCGUUGGUGUUGUGGGUGUGGAGGUCAUGGUACACACAGUACCGACUGCCCUUGGAAGGUUUGGGCUGAUCUCUGCCCCGCUUGGUGUCUGGUUCUGUCGCGAGCACGGCAGCCCCCUUGCGCUUCACAUCCUUGGCCUUGGGCUUCUUCUCUUCUGGAUCUGCGGCAGGCAGCUCGAGGAGGGAGAGACGCCCUUCCUCAGCCCUGGCGCACUUGGUUGCCAAGUUGAACAGCUCCAAGGAAGUGCACAGGUCUUCAUGCAUCGCCAGCUCCUCCUUCAGCUUGACAUCGCGCACGCCGUCGGAGAAGGCUGAGAUGAUGGCCUCCUCAGUCACCUUGGGAAUCUUGAGGCGUGCGUUGUUGAAGCGCUGGAUGUACUUCUACAGGGUCUCCCCGGGUUGUUGCUUGAUGCGGCGCAUGUCGCUCACGGUGGGUGGCCAGUCAUGAGUACCUUGGAAGUUGGCGAUGAAGCGGGUGCGCAUCUCGUCCCAGGAGGAGAUCGUGCCUGGAGCCAGGUUCCGGAGCCAGGUGCGGGCCCCGUCCUUGAGCGCCAUGGGAAACCAGUUCGCCAUGACCUUCUCGUCUCCGUUGGCGGCUUCGAUGCCUAGCUCGUAGAGCUGGAGAAACUCCGCAGGGUUAGCCGUGCCGUCGUAACGAGGAGGCAGGUCUGGCUUGAACUUGCCGGGCCACGCGACGCUGCAUAGCUCGCUGGUGAAGGCACGGCAGCCUGUUGUGGCCAUUGGGGGCAUUGGGUGACAGAGAGCUUGGUCUUGCAUGUCCCCACACGCUGCAGCUGGGAGCAGCGCGGGGUCUUGACGUGCGGGAGCAGGAGCAUGGUCGCGACGUGCUGGAGCAGGGAGCGCCCAGGCAGCUUCUUGCGGGCGAGGGACUUCUUGGCAGCUCUGCUCUUGCCGUGCUGGCACCUGACGGAGCGGGUUCCUCCCAGGGGCCACGAGCCUUGGAGCCAUGGCUCCUUCUUGAGGAGGAGGCGGACGGGGCGCCCCCGGAGCCUCGUCGCCCGCGUGGGGUGGGGUGCGGUGCAGCGGAACGGACGGCGCAGGAGAGCCCCCUGCGGCGCGGACGAGCUCGGCGACGCGGUCGAGCCAUUCUUCAUAGACGUCGUCGAUGGGAUGGUAGCGCAGGAGCUCGUUUGCCGCGAUGAGCGCAGCUCGAGCCUCCAUGGGUGCGCAGAGCGCGCGGGACGAAGAACCAGCUGGGGUGAGCGAGGGAGUAGUGGUGCGGCCGUCUUGCCGCACGGACGGAUGCUGAAACGAUGCUUGCUGAUCGUCCCCCGCUGGGCUGGUGGCGGCGUUGACGGCAGGUGACGGGGAACGGCGAGGACGCCCGCUGACAGGAGCCUUCUAGGCGACGCGGGAAGCGAGAGCGGCCCGGCGCUCAGCGCGGGCCCGGCGAGCGUCAGACAUGGGCACGAUGGUCGGAGGAGAACGGGGUGGUGGAAGACGAAUUCUGGCGCACCCCUACCUGGCGCGCCAAAUGUCGGAUUUCGGGUUCCGGCAGACCCUUGAGGUUCGAACACUGGGGUGCGCGCGGAGAUUUUGCCUUCUACCUACCUGCACCCCUCCGCCUUGCUAAGAUCUAAGCUAUGGAAAGAACAACACAAGAGACACAGGGUUUAUACUGGUUCGGGCCACCGUUGUGGUGUAAUACCCUACUCUAGUGUGUGGAGUGGUGGAUUGCCUCUUGGGCUGAUGAUGAUGAGCAAUACAAGGAAGAACAGCCUCGCGAGGGUCUGUUCUUGGCUGGGGCGAUGAACUGCUGGGAGGAGUUCAGUCACCCUUCUCUCUCUCUCUUCACAAUUGUUGAUCUGAUUCAGUCUCCUCUCUACUCGAUCAUUGGUCUCGAUCCCCAACCUCUCGAUGCUUGGUCGCGAUCUCCUCUCCCCCGAUCCUGUGGGUGGCUGGUCCUAUUUAUAGAGGCCCUGGUCCUCUUCCCAAAUAUCGAGCGGGAAGGGAGCCAACAAUGGCGGGCUAAUUUGAAGGGGGACGGCUAGUACCAGCUAUCCUGACAAAAGUAGUCUUCGCCUGCACAAAGCUCUGGUGGUGACGCCAUCUUGGGCUCCACAAUGACCUCCGUCUUGCAGUCCUCCUGGUCUUGGUCUUGUUGCACCGAAAUGGCAACCUUUGCCUGAUGCCUCGGUACUCCGUGGCUGCGCUUGUCCCUUUGCACCAAAGAGGAAAGGAGGACACUGCGCGGGCUGGCACCCGCCUGGCGCCCUUGGUCGUCAUGGCUUGCGUCACGGGCACCUCGUGAGGUACCCCACCUUGAUCUCUCCGCCUCCUCGCGAGCCAGCCUGGUGAGGCCGUGCCUGAGGAAGCUCCACGUCGUUCGCCCCGCGAGGCUUGGCCCGUCGCGAGGGUCUUGGGUCUGUGUUGGUAAAGAUGGGCCGUGCUGGGCCCCCCUUUGAGCCACGCCGCAGGCCGCAGGCAGGCAAGUCUGGGAACCCCCGUUCCCAGAACACCGACAUCUACGAAGAUCUUUAUCGGUCGAACCGUUAUGACAACAUACGCAAUUCCCUUUGUCCAUCGGUAUGUUACUUGCCCGAUAUUCGAUCGUCGGUAUCUUCAUACCUGGUUCAAUCUUGUUACCAGCAAGUCUCUUUACUCAUUCCGUAAUACAUCAUCUCGUAACUAAGUCCUUAGUCAUUUGCUUGCAAGCUUGUGAUGUGUAUUACCGAGAGGACCCAGAGAUACCUCUCCGAUACUCGGAGUGACAAAUCCUAAUCUCGAUCUAUGCCAACUAAACAAACACCUUCGGGGAUACCUAUAGAGCAUCUUUAUGAUCAACCAGUUAUGUUGUGACGUUUGAUGGCACACCAGGUAUUCCUCUAGUAUCCGGAGUAGCAUAAUCUCAUAGUCGGAGGAAUAUGUAUUUGACAUGAAGAAAGCAAUGGCAAUAAACUGAACAACCAUUAUGCUAAGCUAAUGGAUGGGUCUUUUCCAUCACAUCAUUCUCCUGAUGAUGCGAUCCCGUUAUCAAAUGACAACACAUGUCUAUGGUUAGGAAACCUUAACCAUCUUUGAUCAAUGAGCUAGUCUAGUAGAGGGUUACUAGGGACACUGUAUUUGUUUAUGUAUUCACACAUAUAUUUAAGUUUCCGGUCAAUACAAUUCUAGCAUGAAUAAUAAACCUUUAUCAUGAAUAAGGAAAUAUAAUAAUAAACAUUUUGUUAUUGCAUCUAGGGCAUAUUUCCAUCAUGUAGGUACUGUAGACAUGUUUGUGUGAGUCUCGUAUUGGUUUGAUAACCUUGGUUCUCUACUGAGAGAAAUACUAUCCGCUACUAUAUGUCUUCACCCUUCCUCUUAGGGGGAAAUCCCAACACAACUCACAAGUAGUAGGUAUCGGUAUGAGUUGCAUACUGUGAUUGCCAUGCUUAUUAUCUACUCAUGGAUUAGAUUAGUCGAAAAGGUGCUAAUAUUUCCAGCAAUCCAAAAACCUUAUUUUAGGCACUUUUCAAUUCAAGGCUUUGUCACUACACUGAAAUCGGAAAAGUUACUGGUAUGCAUUUUAAGUGUUGGCAGAUGAGGAUCACCUUGUGGCUCACAAUUAUGAAUGUUUUCUGGGUCAGUGGUGUGAUUCCCAGAUGAACGGUUGAUCCUAAUAAGGAUAGGGCGUUCAGGGAAGCAACCACUGUCUUUGUGGGAGCCAGCCUUAGUGUGAUCGGAGACAAGUUGGUUGACGCAUAUCUCCAUAUGCGUGUUGCCAAAAACUUUUGGGAUGCGCUCGAAGCUAAGUUCGGCGCAACCAAUGUUGGAUGCGAACUGUAUGCUAUGGAGCAAUUCCAUGACUAUAGGAUGGUUGAUAAUCAUUCUAUAUUAGACCAGGCUCAUGAGAUACAAUCCAUCGCUAAGGAGCUAGAGCUCUUGAAGUGUGAGUUACUGGACAAGUUUCUCGCGACUUGCAUUAUUGCAAAACUCCCUCCUGGAUGGAGGAACUUUGCUACCUCUCUCAACCACUUGAGAUGUGAAUUCUCUGUUGAGGAUGUCACCAGUCAUCUAAGUGUUGAGCAUAACUAGAGAGCAAAGGACUCACACAUUAAAGGGGCAGAGGGAUCUUCUAGCGCCAAUGUGGUGCAGAACAAUUUCCACAAGUUCAAGGGAAAGAACAUUGUCCAACAAAAUACUACCUUCGAGAAGAAUGGUAAGAAGAAAUACAAAAGGAGAGAUGGCUGAUUUACUUGUGGUCUAGGGAUUUUUUUGGCAAAAAGUGCCCAAAGAAGUACAAGAAGCCAGGACAGGACUCCAAGUCUGUCAAUGUGACUAUGAGCAAUAGAGAUGGGGCAAAUGGGUAUUGUAAUUUGUUUACGGUACUUCCAGUGUGUCGAUCCACCGAUUGGUGGACUGACAUAGGGGCUAAUAUUCACGUGUGUGCUGAUAUGUCAUUGUUCUCUUCUUACGAGGUCGCGCGAGAUUGCUCCAUCCUGAUGUGGAAUGGCUCACAUGUUUUUGUUCAUUGUGUUGGCACGAUAGAUGUUAAGUUUACUUUGGGAAAAUCGUGCAACUGAAGAACAUGCAACAUGUCCCCACCAUCAAGAAGAAUCCCGUUAGUGGCUCCCAUCUUUGUAAAGAAGGGUUUAAGUUAGUAUUCGAGUCCAGUAAAGUAGUCAUAUAUCGAUAUGGACUAUUUGUUGGAAAAAGAUAUGAUUGCAGAGGUUUGUUCCUCCUUUACCUAGCGGCUUUCUGUAAUAAAGUCAUGCACCAAAUUUAAUCUAGUGAGAAGAACCUGAGGUUUGGCAUUCACAUAUUUUUCACAUUAAUUUUGGUUGUAUGACCAGGCUAGCUAAGAUGGAUCUAAUCCUGAGUUUCACUUUAUACAAAGGCUCUAAGUGCCAUUUGUGUGCGCAAGCAAAGCAACCUCGUAAGCCUCACAAGCCUGCGGAGGAGAGACACCUAGCACCACUAGAGCUCAUGCAUCCAGAUCUUUGCGAGAUGAAUGGUGUGUUGACUAAAGGUGGAAAGUAAUAUUUCAUGGCACUGAUUGAUGAUUCCACUAGACGAUGCUAUGUGUAUUUUUUAAACACUAAGGAUGAGGCUCUACACUACUUUAAAAUCUAUAAGGCGGAAGUUGAGAACUAACUUUAAAAUAAAAUAAAACAAGUAUGGUCUGAUCAUCAUGGAGACUGCUUUUCUAAUGAGUUUGAUUUAUUCUAUGCAUAAAAUGGUAUUAUUCAUGAGCGGAUGCCUCCCUAUUCACCCCAGCCAAACGGGUUGUCGAAUGAAAAAACCAUACUCUGACAUAUUUGGUUAACAUCAUGUUAGAUACAUAUGGUUUAUCCAAGGCAUGGUGGGGGGAAGUUGUAUUGACAUCAUGUGUUGUCCUGAAUAAAGUUCCCACAAAGUAUAAUGAGACUACUCCCAUGAGCAAUGGGAGAAGAAAAGAACUACACUCUCUUACAUGCAGACUUGGGGCUGUUUGGCAAAAGUCAACAUGCUGAUAACCAAAAAGCGUAAGUUAGGAACAAAGUCUGGGGACUUUGUUUUUCUAGGCUAUGUCAAGCACAACGGUGGCUAUAGAUUUCUAGUGGUGAAAUCUGAUGUAUAUGAUGUGAAGGUUGGUACGAUCAUGGAGUCUAAAGAUGAUACAUUCUUUGAGGAUAUUUUCCCCAUGAGAGAUAUGCAAAGCACUUCUAGACUAGAAUCUAAUGAGACUCCAGAACCGACCAUUCGAAUGGAAUAUUAUGAGCAUAAAAGUGAUGAAAGUUCCAUGGAAAUGAUGAGGAAGCUCCUGUUAGCAUCAAGAGACAGAGGAAUGCAAAGUCCAUUGCUGAUAAUUUCCUCGUGUACCUCGUGGAUUCCAUCUUAGAGGCUUAUGCAUCACCAGAUGCUGACUACUGGAAGAAUGUGGUCCGUAGCAAGAUGGAUUCCAUCUUGGCUAGCGGGACAUGCGAAAUCGCUGAUCGUCCUUAUGGUUGCCAACCAUUGGGAUGUAAAUGGGUGUUCAAAAGGAAGUUUAGGCCUGAUGGUACUGUUGAAAAGUAUAAGAGUAGGCUUAUGGCCAAGGUUAUACCCAGAAAGAAGAAGAAGAUUUCUUUGAUACUUACUCACAUGUGGCUAGAUUGACAACCAUUCAAGUGUUACUCUCGUUGGCUGCCUCGCAUGGUCUUCUCGUUCAUCAGAUGGACGCUAAGACGAAUUUCCUUAACAGAGAGCUAGAUGAGGAAAUUUACAUGCAACAACCAAAUGGCUUUGUAGUAAAUGGUCAGGAAAGAAAGCUGUGCAAGCUAUUGAAAUCUUUGUAUGACCUGAAACAAGUGCCUAAGCAAUGUCAUGAGAAGUUCAAUACAACUUUAACAUCUAUUGGCUAUGUUGUUAAUGAAGCUGAAAAUGUGUAUACUAUCAUUAUGGUGGGGGCAAACAAGUUAGACUAUGUCUGUAUGUCGAUGACAUAUUGAUAUUUGGGACCCACCUCAAAAUCAUUGAGGAGGUCAAGGCUUUUCUAUCUCAUAACUUUGAGAUGAAAGACCUGGGUGUGGCUGGUGUUAUCUUGAACAUCAAGCUACUGAGAGAUACUGAUGGUGGAAUUACACUUUUGCAAUCCCACUAUGUUGAGAAGAUUUUGAGCCAUUUUGGAUAUUCAGACUACAAACCUUCUGCAACACCAUAUGAUCUCACGUGGUUGGUUCAUUUAUGUACCUACCUUGUGCUACUUGGCCUGACAUUUCAUUUGUUGUGUGCAAGCUGAGCAGGUUUGUGUCCAAUUCGGGAGAUGUGCAUUGGCAUGCAGUUGAGCGAGUCAUACGUUAUUUGCAAGGUAUUAUGAACUACGGAAUUCACUAUUCUUGGUAUGCGACGGUACUUGAAGGGUAUAGUGAUUCAAAUUGGAUAUCUAAUGCUGAUGAGAUGAAAGCCACAAGUGGUUAUGUUUCACACUUGGUGGUGGUGGUGCUAUUUCAUGGAAGUCUUGCAAGCAGACGAUCUUAACGAGAUCGACUAUGAAAGCAGAACUCACAUCAUUAGACACAUCAUGCGUCGAAGCGGAAUGACUUCGAGAGUUUUUGAUGGAUUUGUGAGUGGUAGAUAAGCCAUUCCCGGCUAUCCUUAUGAACUAUGUCAAUCAGAUAGUGGUUGCGAAGGCAAAGAGUUCAAAGGACAACAUGCAAUCCUCAAAGCAUAUAAGAAGAAGAUUGAAAUCUAUCGGGUAAUCAUGAAACUCCAGAGUAAUAGCAUUGGAUUAUAUCCAACCGGGUAAGAAUCUGGAAGACCCCUUUACAAAAGGGCUAUCAGGAAUUAUGAUAGAAAAUGCAUCAAGGAAGAUGGGCAUGAGACCCAUGUAAGUUGCCAUGGGGGUAAUCCAACCUAUGUGAUCAAAGAUCCCAUGAAUUGGGACUUGGCAAAACAAUCCAGCAGUCAACUAAGGAGAGUACCCUUACAAACCUAUUCUGUUGGGGAUGCAAUACUCUCGUAAUCUGUAAGGCAAGCUGACUUUGUCGGAUCAUGGGUUCCGGCAAAACCCUUAAGGUUUGAACUCUGAGGUGUGCGCGAAGACCUCCCCCCCUAUCGAUCCGCGUCCUAACUUAGCCUAGAUCUCAUGAACUAACUCGAUGAACUCGCAACACAAAGGACACAAGAUUUAUACUGGUUCGGGCCACCAUUGUGGUGUAAUACCCUACUCCAGUGUGGUGGUGGUGGAUUGCCUCUUGGGCUGAGGAUGAAUAGUACAAGGGGAAGAACAGCCUCCUCAGGUUGAGGUGUUCUUGUGCUUGGUGCACUUGUGUGGCUGAGGAUGAUCUUGGAUUCUCCCCGCCUAUGGUGGUGGCUAGUCCUAUUUAUAGAGGCCCUGGUCCUCUCCCCAAAUAUUUAGCGGGAAGGAAGCCAACAACAGCCAAUUUGAAAGGGGACAUCUAGUACAAGCUAUCCUGACAAAAGGUGCUCUUCGCCUGCCAAAGGUUCUGGUGGUGACGCCGUCCUGGGCUCCAUGUUGACCUCCGUCUUGCCGUCCUUCUGGUCUUGGUCUCGUUGCACCAAUAUGGAAACCUUUGCUUGAUGCCUCGGUACUCCGCGCAUGCGCUUGCCCCCUUAGCACCAAAGGGGAAACAAGGACACUGCGCGCGCUCGCGCCCGCCUGGUCUCAAUCGUCAUGGCUUACGUCACGGAAACCUCACGAGGUUUGCCAACCUUGAACUCUCCGCCCCUCACGAGCCGGCCUGAUGAGGUUGCUCCUGAGGAGGUCUUGUGUCGUCUGCCUCGCGAGGCUUGGCCCCUCGCGAGGGUCUUGAUUCCUUGUUGAUGAAGAUGGGUCAUACAGGCCUGCCAGCAAAGCCACGCCAUGGGCCGCAGGCAGGAAAGUCUGGGGACCCCAGUUCCCAGAAUGCCGACAGUAGCCCCCAGGCCCAAGGCGUGCUCGGGCUUGGCUUCGAGGUGAAGCCAUGGGUCAAGUGCGGAGCGCCACGAGCCCUAAUAGCCUGCGGCCUCGGUCGACGCGUGGCGGUUGAUUGGACAUGGGCGUCUCCGCUUUGCCAUGCUGCCUCGGCAACUACCCGACUGUCAAAAGGCUGGCGUAGACAACGUUCGCCUUCACUGUUUCCUUUCACCUUGCUCAAAUCCCCUUUCUUGCUCCCCGCUUCCGAAAUCUCCAGAUCCGCUCCCAUCCUUUCAUGCAUCAGCGACCCAUGGCGCUCCGGAGGGUCAAGCCCGCCUCGUCGCCGGUGUCGUCUGCAGUGAAGGCUUGCUACGAACCUGCCCUCGACUCGCCCAACGUCUCGGAGAAAAACCUCGCCGCCACGCGCCUGCUGACGGCGGGGGAGAGUAAUGAAAGUGGGAAGACGGAGCUCCAGGUUGCCUCCAACAUGCCGGAGCCCGAGGGGAGCGUGUUCUUUCCCUUCUUCACGAGCAGUAUUGCCGCCGGGUUGGUUCCUCCCUUCUCUGAUUUCUUCUAUGAGGCCCUUGAUCACUACAGGCUGCAGGUGUUGCAUCUCCAUCCCAACUCCGUCCUUCUCUUGUCCAUAUUCGCCUACUACUAUGAGGCGUAUCUGGGCAUGAUGUCGUCCGUGGCCCUGCUGCGCCACUUCUUCUUCCUCCGUGCCAGCGAGGGCCAUAUCUCCGGGUGCGCUAAUUUCAUCAUGGCUGGCAAGGCCAACUCGAUCUCAAACACCGGGAAGAAGGCUGACAACCUCAGGGCCAAAUGGGUCAUGAUGAGCGCCAAGCGUGUCCACCCGCGCUUGGUGCUACCUACGGAGAAGCCCCGGGACGACAAGGCGUGGUCCCGCGCGAAGCUCACCGAUGAGCGGGCAAUGUUGGUGCUGGAGUAGAUGAAGUUCGACCUGAAGCCCGACAAUGUGAAGGCGGCGAGGAUUACAGGGACCAUGCUCCUGAGGGAGUUUCUGGCGCUGCGCGUGGCCCCGCUGCAGGCCUGUUCGCCCCUUGUGGGAACUCGGGGGUGAAGAGGACAAGGUUCGCUUGAGCUCGGAGGCCUUGUCCAGCAAGGAGCUGACCGCAACUCUCUGCCUCCUGGUUGGGGACGAUCAGGAGUAUCCUCCGAAUGUCUUCACUCCCUUGUUCCGCUACAAGGACACUGCACUGAUCGUGGCCUCCAAGCCGACCUUUGACGGACGCGGUCUGGUUCCGUCGGUGCUCACCGGGGGCCCAGCGGCACCGGUGCCGGUGAACCUGUCUUCUGGUGAGUCCCACGAGGAAGAAGAGGGGGGAAGACUCGGAGGUGACCCCCGAAGGGACGGGGGAGACCUCCCCCCUAAGUAAGGCUGACAUCCUCCGCGCCUUCCCUGACAACGACGAGGCCAACACUUCCCAGGAGAAGGAGGAACUGCCCGUGAUACCGAAGAGGAGCAGGUCGGCGCUGGUCCUCCGAGAUUCUGCUGCUGCUCCGGUGUCGGCUCGAGCCGCUUCUGGUUCAACUUCCGCUCCCGCUUCAGCUUCUGGAGCAGGUGCGGCAGCGCCUCGGGUCACGAUGCUCUCCGGCUUCAAGCUUACUAAGCGGAAGGUGGACUAUGUUGUUGUAGACCAGUAAGUGCCCCGCCUCGCCUUGUUCCUGCUGUUGAUGCUCGUUUCCGACUCUCUUUCCUUCCUGCGUAAUCAGGCUGUCGUCUGCGGUGAAGAGGAGAAGGGAGAGCGAGGUGGUGCCGCUUGAGUCCGCGUUGCCUCCUAUGAUCGUGCCCUUCUCCAUGGGCAAAGGAGGGGAUGGUGCUCAUGCUUCUCUAGCCCGGUUGUCCUCGUGAGGCCCGGUGAAGCAUACUCAUGAGGAGUCAGCCCCCGAAGCGCUGCUGGCUCAGGAGGUGCCGGUGUCCAGCACGGCUGGUGAGGUUCAGGAGCCCUUGAUCUUCCAGGCUCUGGUGAUGACGUCGCCCCCUUCUCAUGCUGUGCCCCUGGCUCCAGGUUCUUCUGCUUCCUCAGCCGUCCUGGAGAGCGCCUUUUCGGAGAUGGCCCGACUGCGGGAAGAUCUCCAGGGCACGGACUCGCACCUGGUGGCAGGGCGCUUGGAGCUGGUCUCUGGCUGGCUUCACUCUGACUCGGCGGUCCGAGCGUCACUGAGCCAGGCCGCGGCGGCCUCCGAGAAGGAGAAGCUGGCCGCCGCCAAAGCUGCGGCUGAUCACGAGGCAGCAUUGAAGGAUGCCGAGGCCACCAGCGGCCGCUGCCGAGAGCUGGAGGAUGAGCUGAAGGGCCUGCGCGACCAUCAUGCGGAAGAAGCACGCGACCGCCAGGCGAAGGAGGAGGAGAUGAAGGCCCGGGAGGAUGCCAUCAAAGGCCGCGACGCUGAGCUGGGGGAGCUGGCGAAGGCACAGGCAGCGGAGCGCAACCGGCUAGAGGAGUUGGAGCGGAAGGCGAGGGUGAAGGUGGCCGACCUUGAUGCCAAGGCGAGGGUCCUUGCCGAAGACCGCGCGGCCUUCUCGACCUUUGAGGAGAGGUCCCGCGUGGCACUGAAGAAACUGUACGAGAAGGGCUUGGAGAAGCUGCUGGCCAGCGACGAGGAUGGCCCUGCUCAGCUGCUUCCCUUCCUGGUGAAGGCGUUCGAGGAGGUCGUGGAAGGCGUCGGUCCUAUGGCAGAGGCAGAGGCUCGCGUCCUUUCCUCGGCCGCGCUGACACGGUUGUUCAGCCACCUGCACCUUCGCGACCCCAGCGCUCGUCUUGACAAGCUGCUGGAACCUAUCGCUAACGAACACUAUGUGGCUGCCGCCGCAGCCGUGAAGGGUUAAGUGGAGGCCUUGCUGAAGAAGUUCGAUGCCUUCGCCCCCGCGCCCUCGACCGGUGAUGCAGGUGAAGGCGACGCUACCCAGGAGGGGGCACAUUUUGCAGGUGCCGGCGGUGUCCACGGGUGACUUGCGCCUGCUUUUCUACUUUGUUCCUGUAACAUGCACCAUGCCUCGUGGAGGCGUUAAACUUGCGUUUGAUAUUGUGAGGACAAUAUGUAUUGUAAUAUUUGCUUCGAGAUUUUGCGAUUUUCUUCCUAUUUGCUUCGUGUUCUGCGUUGGCAGAGCCCGGCCCCGCGCAUACCUCAACCGUCGUUGGGCUGACCGGAAACCAGGACGGACCAAGGAGCGAGGGGCUACGUGACUAGUUAGGCUCCUAAGUCACGAUGCUCAGGAGUCCCCCUUGACACGCAAACAGCCUAUAGGAAGGAUACGUGAGGAUAGGUUAAUGUUCUACAUCGGCAGAGCCCAGCCCCGCGCAUACCUCAACCACCGUUGGGCCGACCGGAAACCAGGACGGACCAAGGAGUGAGGGGCUACAUGACCAGUUAGGCUCCUGAGACGCGAUGCUCAGGAGUCCCCCUUGACGUGCAACAUUCUCCAUACUUGUGCCCUCGUCGAGGCUCGGCUCGGGAGGGGCGUGCGACGACCAGGUCCAGGGGACCUGGUUGGGUGGCGCACACUUGGGCAUGACCCAAGUGCAGCCCCCGUGCCCAGCCCCCUCACACAGCUCUCCCGAGGGGAGACAUUGCAGUGAGGCCGGACACUAAGCUCUGGGGCUCCCUAAGGUUGGUACGGUCAUGGGGCCGCCCUCAGUUGUUUAUCACCAGCACGGAGCGUAGUGCUUCCGCUUGUGCACGGGCAUAGCCGCUCCUCGGCAGUGUCGACGGCCAGCGAGGAGCAUGGUGCUUUGAUACGUCUCCAACGUAUCUAUAAUUUUUGAUUGCUCCAUGCUAUAUUAUCUAUUGUUUUGGACUAUAUUGGGCUUUAUUUUCCACUUUUAUAUUAUUUUUGGGACUAACCUAUUAACGGGAGGCCCAGCCCAGAAUUGCUGUUUUUUGCCUAUUUCAGUGUUUCGGAGAAACAGAAUAUCAAACGGAGUCCAAACGGAAUAAAAUCUUCGGGAACGUGAUUUUCUCACCGAACAUGAUCCGGGAGACUUGGACCCUGCUCCAAGGAACAAAAGAGGCGGUCACGAGGGUGGGGGGCGCCCCCUCCUAGGGCGCCCCCUGCCUCGUGGGCCCCUUGUUGCUCCUCUGGCGUACUUCUUCCUCCUAUAUAUACACACGUACCCCCAAACGAUUAGAACAAGAGCCAAAAACCUAAUUCCACCGCCGCAACUUUCCGUAUCCACGAGAUCCCAUCUUGGGGCCUGUUCCGGAGCUCCGACGGAAGAGGGCCGUCAUCACGGAGGGCUUAUACAUCAUCCUAGCCUCUCCGAUGAAGUUUGAGUAGUUUACCUCAGACCUUCGGGUCCAUAGUUAGUAGCUAUAUGGCUUCUUCUCUCUCUUUGAAUCUCAAUACAAAGUUCUCCCCCUCUCUCAUGGACAUCUAUUCGAUGUAAUCUUCUUUUUGCGGUGUGUUUGUUGAGAUCGAUGAAUUGUGGGUUUAUGAUCAAGUCUAUCUAUGAAUAAUAUUUGAAUCUUCUCUGAAUUCUUUUAUGUAUGAUUGGUUAUCUUUGCAAGUCUCUUCGAAUUAUCCAUUUGGUUUGGCCAACUAGAUUAGUAGUUCUUGCCAUGGGAGAAGUGCUUAGCUUUGGGUUCGAUCUUGCGGUGUCCUUUCCUAGUGACAGAAGGGGCAGCAAGGCACAUAUUGCAUUAUUGCCAUCGAGGAUAACAAGAUGGGGUUUAUUUCAUAUUGCAUGAAUUUAUCUCUCUACAUCAUGUCAUCUUGCUUAAGGCGUUACUCUGUUUUUAACUUAAUACUCUAGAUGCAUGCUGGAUAGCGGUUGAUGAGUGGAGUAAUAGUAGUAGAUGCAGAAUCGUUUCGGUCUACUUGUCACGGAUGUGAUGCCUAUAUACAUGAUCAUGCCUAGAUAUUCUCAUAAUUAUGCUCAAUUCUGUCAAUUGCUCAACAGUAAUUUGUUCACCCACCGUAGAAUACUUAUGCUCUUGAAAGAAGCCACUAGUGAAACCUAUGGCCCCCGGGUCUAUUCUCAUCAUAUCAAUCUCCAUCACUUUAAUAUUGUUUUGCUAUUUACUUUGCCUUUACUUUUUUACUUUGCAUCUUUAUACCAAAAAUAUUCUAUCUAUCAGAUCUCACUCUCGUAAGUGACCGUGAAGGGCUUGACAACCCCUAAUCGUGUUGGUUGCGAGUAGCUAUCAUUUUGUGCAGGUACGAGGGACUUGAACGUGGACUCCUACUGGAUUGAUACCUUGGUUCUCAAAAACUGAGGAAAAUACUUACGCUACUUUGCUGCAUCAUCCCUUCCUCUUCGGGGAAAACCAACGCAAGCUUAAGACAUAGCAAGAAGGAUUUCUGGCGCCGUUGCCGGGGAGUCUACGCAAAAAGUCAACAUACCAAGUACCCAUCACAAUCCCUAUCUCUCGCAUUACAUUAUUUGCCAUUUGCCUCUCGUUUUCCUCUCCCCCCAAUUCACCCUUGCCAUUUUAUUCGCCCUCUCUCUCUAUCCUCCUUCUUUGUUUGCCUCUUUUGCCCUUUUGCUCUUGUUUGCUCGUGUGUUAGAUUGCUUGUUUGUCGCGAUGGCUCAAGAUACUACUAAAUUGUGUGACUUCACCAAUACCAAUAAUAAUGAUUUCCUUAGCACUCCGAUUGCUCCUCGUACCGAUGUUGAAUCUUGUGAAAUUAAUACCGCUUUGUUGAAUCUUGUUAUGAAAGAUCAAUUUGCCGGCCUUCCCAGUGAAGAUGCCGCUACUCAUAUGAAUAGCUUCGUUGAUUUAUGUGAUAUGCAAAAGAAAAAAGAUGUCGAUAAUGAUGUCGUUAAAUUGAAGCUAUUUCCUUUUUCGCUUAGAGAUCUUGCUAAAGCUUGGUUUUUGUCUUUGCCUAAGAAUAGUAUUGAUUCAUGGAACAAGUGCAAAGAUGCUUUUAUCUCUAAGUAUUUUUCUGCCGCUAAGAUCAUCUCUCUUAGAAACGAUAUUAUGAACUUUAAACAACUUGAUCAUGAACAUGUUGCACAAGCUUGGGAGAGAAUGAAAUUAAUGAUACGUAAUUGCCCUACUCAUGGGUUGAAUUUGUGGAUGAUUAUACAAAAAUUUUAUGCCGGAUUGAAUUUUGCUUCUACAAAUCUUUUAGAUUCGGACGCGGGAGGCACUUUUAUGGAAAUCACUUUAGGAGAUGCUACUAAACUCCUAGAUAAUAUUAUGGUUAAUUAUUCUGAAUGGCACACUGAAAGAUCAUCUAAUAAAAAAGUGCAUGCGAUAGAAGAAAUUAAUGUGUUGAGUGGAAAGAUGGAUGAACUUAUGAAAUUAUUUGCUAAUAAGAGUGUUUCUUCUGAUCCUAAUGAUAUGCCUUUGUCUACUUUGAUUGAGAAUAACAAUGAAUCUAUGGAUGUGAAUUUUGUUGGUAGGAAGAAUUUUGGUAACAACGCUUAUAGAGGGAAUUUUAAUAUUAGGCCAUAUCCUAGUAAUCCUUCUAAUAAUUAUGGGAAUUCCUACAACAACUCUUAUGGAAAUUAUAAUAAUAUGCCCUCUGAUUUUGAAUCUAAUAUUAAAGAAUUUAUUUCUUCGCAAAAGAAUUUUAAUGCUAUGAUUGAAGAAAAAUUGCUUAAGAUUGAUGAUUUGGCUAGGAACGUUGAUAGAAUUGCUCUUGAUGUUGAUGCUUUAAAACUUAGAUCUAUUCCACCUAAGCAUGAUAUCAAUGAGUCUCUAAAAGCCAUGAGAAUUUCAAUUGAUGAGUGUAAAGAAAGAACCGCUAGGAUGCGUGCUUCCAAAGAUGCCUUUAUUAAAGCGUGUUCUUCCAAUUCCUAUGAAAAUCAAUAUGAAGAUCAAAAAGUUAUUGAUGUGUCUCCAAUUAAAUCUUUAUUUUGCAAUAUGAAUCUUGAUGAAACUGAAUAUGAUCUUCCUUUACCUAGAAGGCAUUCUAAAAAUUCGGAGUAUUUAGAUCUUAAUGAUGAAAUUGACGAUAGUGGGAUUGAAAGAAAUAAAAAUCUAGAUGUUGCUAAACCCACUAUAUUGGAUUUCAAGGAAUUUAAUUAUGAAAGUUGCUCUUUAAUUGAUUGUAUUUUCUUGUUGCAAUCCGUGCUAAAUUCUCCACAUGCUUAUAGUCGAAAUAAAGCCUUCACCGAACAUAUUGUUGAUGCCUUGAUGCAAUCUUAUGAAGAAAAACUUGAGUUGAAAGUUUCUAUCCCUAGAAAACUUUAUGAUGAGUGGGAACCAACAAUUAAAAUUAAAGAUCAUGAGUUUUAUGCUUUGUGUGAUUUGGAUGCUAGUGGCUCUACUAUUCCCAAGACUUUGUGUGAUUUACUAGAUUUCCGCGAUUUUGAUGAUUGCUCUCUAAACUUCCAUCUUGCGGAUUCCACUAUUAAGAAACCUAUGGGAAGAAUUAAUGAUGUUAUUAUUGUUGAAAAUAGGAAUUAUGUGCCCGUAGAUUUCAUUGUUCUUGAUAUAGAUUGCAAUCCUUCUUGCCCUAUUAUUCUUGGUAGACCUUUCCUUAGAACGGUUGGUGCGAUUAUUGAUAUGAAGGAAGGGAAUAUUAGAUUUCAAUUUCCAUUAAAAAAGGGCAUGGAACACUUUCCAAUAAAGAAAAUAAAAUUAUCAUAUGAAACUAUCAUGAGAGCCACUUAUGGAUUGCCUACCAAAGAUGGCAAUACCUAGAUCUAUCCCCGCUUGUUAUGCCUAGCUAGGGGCGUUAAACGAUAGCGCUUGUUGGGAGGCAACCCAAUUUUAUUUUUAUUCCUUGCUUUUUUCUCCUGUUUAGUAAUAAAUAAAUUAUCUAGCCUCUGUUUUGGUUGUGUUUUUUUGUGUUUAAUUAGUGUUUGUGCCAAGUAGAACCGUUGGGAAGACUUGGGGAAAGUCUUGUUGAACUUGCUGUAAAAAAUAGAAACUUUUGCGCUCACGAGAACUGCUGCCAUUUUUAUUUGAAGAGUGGUAUUCAGUUAAUUAUUUUUGCAGAUGAUUAAUAGAUAAAUUCCUCACGUCCAGAAAUUUAUUUUAGAAUUUUUGGGGUUCCAGAUCUUUCGCUAGCUACAGAUUACUACAGACUGUUCUGUUUUUGACAGAUUCUGUUUUUCGUGUGUUGUUUGCUCAUUUUGAUGAAUCUAUGGCUAGUAAAAUAGUUUAUAAUCCAUAGAUAAGUUGGAAUACAGUAGGUUUAACACCAAUAUAAAUAAAGAAUGAGUUCAUUACAGUACCUUGAAGUGGUCUUUUGUUUUCUUUCGCUAACGGAGCUCACGAGUUUUCUAUUUUGAGUUUUGUGUUGUGAAGUUUUCAAGUUUUGGGUAAGAAUUUGAUGGAUUAUGGAACAAGGAGUGGCAAGAGCCUAAGCUUGGGGAUUCCCACGGCACCCCCAAUAUAAUCCAAGGACACCAAAAAGUCAAAGCUUGAGGAUGCCCCGGAAGGCAUCCCCUCUUUCGUCCACUUCCAUCGGUAACUUUACUUGGAGCUAUAUUUUUAUUGACCAACAUGAUAUGUGUUUUGCUUGAAGCGUCUUGUAUUAUUUGUGUCUUUGUUUGUUAGUAUGCCACAAUCAUCCUUGCUGUACACACCUUUUGAGAGAGCCAUACAUGAAUGAAAAUUUGAUAGAAUACUCUAUGUGCUUCACUUAUAUCUUUUGAGCUAAGUAGUUUUGCUCUAUGUGCUUCACUUAUAUCCUUUGAGCGUUAUAAUUUUGUUCUAUGUGGUUCACUUAGAUCUUUUAGAGCAUGGUGGUGGAUUUGUUUUAAAUAAACUAUUGAUCUCUCAUGCUUCACUUAAAUUAUUUUGAGUCUCUUAAUAGCAUGGUAAUUUGCUUAAUAAUAAUAUGCUUGGUAUUCAAGAUUUGUGAAACUUUCUUUUGAGUGUGUUGAAUACUAAGAAAAGAUUGAAGCAUGAUAAUUGUUUUGAGAUAUGGAGGUGAUAAUAUUAAAGUCAUGCUAGUGGAGUGGUUGUGAAUUUAAAUAAUACUUGUGUGGAAGUUUGUGAUUCCCGUAGCAUGCACGUAUGGUGAACCGUUAUGCGAUGAAGUCGGAGCAUGAUUUAUUUAUUGAUUGUCUUCCUUAUGAGUGGCGGUCGGGGACGAGCGAUGGUCUUUUCCUACCAAUCUAUCCCCCUAGGAGCAUGCGCGUAGUACUUUGCUUUGAUAACUUCUAGAUUUUUGCAAUAAGUAUAUGAGUUCUUUAUGACUAAUGUUGAGUCCAUGGAUCAUACGCACUCUCACCCUUCCACCUUUGCUAGCCUCUCUAAUAGCGCGCAACUUUCGCCGGUAUCAUACACCUACCAUAUACCUUCCUCAAAACAGCCACCAUACCUACCUAUUAUGGCAUUUCCAUAGCCAUUCCGAGAUAUAUUGCCAUGCAACUUUCCAUCAUCUAGUUCAUCAUGACAUCCAUCAUUGUCAUAUUGCUUAGCAUGAUCAUGUAGUUGACAUAGUAUUUGUGGCAAAGCCACCGUUCAUAAUUUUCAUACUUGACUCUUGAUUCAUUGCAUAUCCUGGUACACCACCGGAGGCAUUCAUAUAGAGUCAUACUUUGUUCUAAGUAUCGAGUUGUAAUUGUUGAGUUGUAAGAAAAAUAAAAGUGUGAUGAUCAUCAUUAUUAGAGCAUUGUCCCAGUGAGGAAAGAAUGAUGGAGACUAUGAUUCCCCCACAAGUCGGGAUGAGACUCCGGACGAAAAAAAAGAGGCCAAAUAAGCCCAAAUAAAAAAAAGAGAAAGGCCAUAAAAAAUAUAAUAAUAAAGAAAAUGAGAGAAAAAGAGAGAAGGGACAAUGUUACUAUCCUUUUACCACACUUGUGCUUCAAAGUAGCACCAUGAUCUUCAUAGUAGAGAGUCUCUCAUGUUAUCACUUUCAUAUACUAGUGGGAAUUUUACAUUAUAGAACUUGGCUUGUAUAUUCCCAUGAUGGGCUUCCUCAAAUUGCCCUAGGUCUUCAUGAGCAAGCAAGUUGGAUGCACACUCACUUAGUUUCUUUUUGAGCUUUCAUAUACUUAUAGCUCUAGUGCAUCUGUUGCAUGGCAAUCCCUACUCACUCACAUUGAUAUCUAUUGAUGGGCAUCUCCAUAGCCCGUUGAUAGGCCUAGUUGAUGUGAGACUAUCUUCUCCCUUUUUGUCUUCUCCACAACCACCAUUCUAUUCCACCUAUAGUGCUAUGUCCAUGGCUCACGCUCAUGUAUUGCGUGAAGAUUGAAAAAGUUUUGAAAAAGUUAGAGUAUGAAACAAUUGCUUGGCUUGUCAUCGGGGUUGUGCAUGAUUUAAAUAUUUUGUGUGGUGAAGAUAGAGCAUAGCCAGACUAUAUGAUUUUGUAGGGAUAACUUUCUUUGGCCAUGUUAUUUUGAGAAGACAUAAUUGCUUUGUUAGUAUGCUUGAAGUAUUAUUAUUUCUAUGUCAAUAUAAACUUUUGUCUUGAAUCUUUCUAAUCUGAAUAUUCAUACCACAAUUAAGAAGAUUUACAUUGAAAUUAUGCCAAGUAGCACUCCGCAUCAAAAAUUCUCUUUUUAUCAUUUACCUACUCGAGGACGAGCAGGAAUUAAGCUUGGGGAUGCCUGAUACGUCUCCAACGUAUCUAUAAUUUUUGAUUGCUCCAUGCUAUAUUAUUUACUGUUUUGGACUAUAUUGGGCUUUAUUUUCCACUUUUAUAUUAUUUUUGGGACUAACCUAUUAACUGGAGGCCCAGCCCAGAAUUGUUGUUAUUUGCCUAUUUCAGUGUUUCGGAGAAACAGAAUAUCAAACGGAGUCCAAAUGGAAUAAAAUCUUCGGGAACGUGAUUUUCUCACCGAACGUGAUCCAGGAGACUUGGACCCUGCUCCAAGGAACAAAAGAGGCGGUCACGAGGGUGGGGGCGCGCCCCCCUGCCUCGUGGGCCCCUCGUUGGUCCUCCAGCAUACUUCUUCCUCCUAUAUAUACACACGUACCCCCAAACGAUCAGAACAGGAGCCAAAAACCUAAUUCCACCACCGCAAAUUUCCGUAUCCACGAGAUCCCUUCUUGGGGCCUGUUCCAGAGCUCCGCCGGAAGAGGGCCGUCAUCACGGAGAGCUUCUACAUCAUCCUAGCCUCUCUGAUGAAGUGUGAGUAGUUUACCUCAGACCUUCGGGUCCAUAGUUAGUAGCUAGAUGGCUUCUUCUCUCUCUUUGAAUCUCAAUACAAAGUUCUCCCCCUCUCUCAUGGAGAUCUAUUCGAUGUAAUCUUCUUUUUGCGGUGUGUUUGUUGAGAUCGAUGAAUUGUGGGUUUAUGAUCAAGUCUAUCUAUGAAUAAUAUUUGAAUCUUCUCUGAAUUCUUUUAUGUAUGAUUGAUUAUCUUUGCAAGUCUCUUCGAAUUAUCCAUUUGGUUUGGCCAACUAAAUUGGUAGUUCUUGCCAUGGGAGAAGUGCUUAGCUUUGGGUUCGAUCUUGCGGUAUCCUUUCGUAGUGACAAAAGGGGCAGCAAGGCACGUAUUGCAUCGUUGCCAUCGAGGAUAACAAGAUGGGGUUUAUUUCAUAUUGCAUGAAUUUAUCUCUCUACAUCAUGUCAUCUUGCUUAAGGCAUUACUCUAUUUUUAACUUAAUACUCUAGAUGCAUGCUGGAUAGCGGUCGAUGAGUGGAGUAAUAGUAGUAGAUGCAGAAUUGUUUUGGUCUACUUGUCAUGGAUGUGAUGCCUAUAUACAUGAUCAUGCCUAUAUAUUCUCAUAAUUAUGCUCAAUUCUGUCAAUUGCUCAACAGUAAUUUGUUCACCCAUCGUAGAAUACUUAUGCUCUUGAGAGAAGCCACUAGUGAAACCUAUGGCCCCCGGGUCUAUUCUCAUCAUAUCAAUCUCCAUCACUUUAAUAUUGUUUUGCUAUUUACUUUACCUUUACUUUUUUACUUUGCAUCUUUAUACCAAAAAUACCAAAAAUAUUCUAUCUAUCAGAUCUCACUCUCGUAAGUGAUUGUGAAGGGCUUGACAACCCCCAAUCGCGUUGGUUGCGAGUAGCUAUCGUUUUGUGCAGGUACGAGGGACUUGAGCGUGGCCUCCUACUGGAUUGAUACCUUGGUUCUCAAAAACUGAGGGAAAUACUUACGCUACUCUGCUGCAUCAUCCCUUCCUCUUCGGGGAAAAUCAACGCAAGCUCAAGACGUAGCAUGCUUCCACUAGGGCGUGGGAGGGGGACUCCCUACUGCGGAGAGCUCCCGGGGCGUGUACAGCCCCGCCCUGACAUGUGGCUUGCACGGCAGGGCUAGACGAGGUGUAUCGGGGCACUCGUGAGCCAGCGCGGGACUCACGAGGCCCUACCUCAAGGCGGGUUGCGCCUGGUCUUGGUUCUUGUUUGCUGUCUUGGUCCUGCAAGGUGGUUAGGCAACCUGUGCCGAACGAAUCUCCUGAGGUCAUCGCAUGAAAAAGCCAAGCACCAACGGCCCCGGGAGGUGACGUGAACGGGGCCGGCCCGCCAGACAGAGCUCAACCGCUAGAUUUAUCGACGCUACAGGUACGGACCCGAGCACAGACGCCGUGCUUGACUUACUCACGCAAGGGGUUCUGAAGAAAGACGGACGGCGCGCGGCUCCCACGGUGGGUGACAAUCAAGCAGGCGAUAGUCAUAGAUAGAUUAAGCAUGGGAAGCAACCUAGCUCAGGUAAGUGCAGGGAAGAUGCAUGCCACCGGGUCCGGCACGAGCGGCUUGGGGAUGAUGCAGCCCGAGGGGCGCCCCCAACAGGGUAAGCUAAAGACAUAAAAGGAAAGAUACAUGCCAUAGGGAUGGACCCACGCGGCCUGGGAAUGAUGCACCCUGGGGGCGCUCCCAGCUGAAUGAACCUUGGAAAAUGUCACCUGGCCAUGUCGAUGAAGGAGAGUUGGGGUAGUUGAAGGCGUGCGGCGAAGGGCUGCCCCUCAUGAGCCACUGGGCCCUGAGGCUCGGGAGGCCCUGGGGGGCCAGGAGGUUCCUCGAGGACCGUCUUCAUCUCCGUCAGCACCGCGUGGUGCCUGGCCUCCUGAGCCGCCAGGCUGCUCCGCAGGUUGCGGUGAUAGGAGGCUGCCACGCUCGGUAGACCGAAGGGCAUGCGAACGUAACUGUGGGAUGGGCCCUCGCAGCGUCCAACGCGCGAAGGCCAGAGAAGCUCCUGAGAGGCGGCCCGAUUGAGCCCUGGAACGUCGAUGUAGACGCGCAUCCCGACAUCCUCGCCUGGAUUGGGAACUGCGCCUAAUGAGCGGCGGCUGCCGCGCAUGGCCCUCGCGUCUUGCAGUUCCUGAGUGGUCUUGGUGAUGAACUCCUGAGCGGUGAGCACUCCUUGCCUUGUGUCCUCCUGAGGAAAACGUCUCGUGAAGCACGCCUCCAAAUGGUGCCCAAGCGCCUCCCUCGUGAUGAUGGCAAAGUCUGAGGCCCUCCAAAAGAGAUCCCUCGAGCCCUUCCUGAGAGGGGCGCUGGGCGCGCCUCCCUAUGCGAUGGAGGGAGGCGCCCCAGGCGCGGACGCCGAUCCUAACGAGGCGUCGCUUUCCUGAGGCCCUGCGUGACGUAGCUGCUUCUUCUUCUUCUUGGGGGUGGCCUUAGGAGGGCGCUCACCCUGACUGUCGGGGUCGUCGAUUACUUCAGCUUGAAGGCACGCUCGAGGGAGCACACCGCAUCUCUUUCUUCGCAUGGGACUAUGAUGAUUCCGCCGCUUCUCGGCAUCUUGAGGACAUUGUAGCCGUGAUGGGUCACCGCCAUGAACUUGGCCAGGGCUGGAUACCCGAGGAUGGCACUGUAUGGCAGGUGGAUGUAGGCGACGUCGAAGUCGAUGAGUUCGGUGCGGUAGUUGUUGCGUUCUCCAAAGGUAACAGGGAGGUGGACCUGCCCGAUCGGGGUAGUAGAGCCGUCGGUCACUCUUGAGAAAGGCUUGGUAGGCUGAAGCUGGUCAUAUGGCACUUGGAGGUUGUCGAACAUGUCGACGAACAGGACAUUGAGCCCUGCGCCGCUGUCGAUGAGGGUCUUGGUAACUUGCACGUUGCUGAUGAUUGGUGAACAGAGCAUUGGGAGGACGCCUGCGGUGGCCGCACACUUGAGCUGAUCUGCCGAACUGAACGUGAUGGGGCACCUGGACCAUCUGAGUGGGCGUGUGGCCUCGAGCUUGGGGAGAACUGCAUUCACUUCACGGGCAAACUGUUUGAAGAUAUGCUGGGGCUUGAGCUCCGCCCAAGAUGCAGGCGACAUCGCGUGGCUCCUGGAAGCCCCCAGCCCCCUCGUCUUGAUGGUGGUCGUCAUUCCUUCUAGGUGGUGGUGGUAAUGGAGGAAGGCCUGCGUUGCCUUGAGGACGAGCCUCACGAGGCUGGUCCCUCCAUGCGCCCUCGCGAGGCUGAUCCUACCAGUAGUCCUCACGAGGCUGGUCGUGCCACUCCUGGCGCGGGCCACAGUCGUCCCAUCGUCCACCGCCACGUCCUCCUCCUCGGUCGUAGCCCCGGUCGCUGCGCUCGGGGCGUCGACCGAAGCAUCCUUCUCGAAUGGCUCUGAGUUCUUGACAGUCGCUGGUGUUGUGGGUAUGUAGGUUGUGGAAGGCGCGGAAUGGUCGGCUGCCCUUGGAUGACUCGGGUUGGUCUCUGCCGCAUUUGGUGUCUGGUUCCGCCGCGAGCACGGCUGCUCCCUUGCGCUUCACAUCCUUGGCCUUGGUCUUUUUCUCUUCUGGGUCUGCAGCAGGGAGCUCGAGGAGGGAGAGGCGCCCCUCCUCAGCUCUGGCACACUUGGUUGCGAUGUUGAACAGCUCUAGGGUCGUGCACAGCUCUUCGUGGAUGGUGAGCUCCUCCUUCAUCUUGAUGUUAAGGACACCGUCGGAGAACGCUUGGAUGAUGGCCUCGUCGGUCACCUUGGGGAUUUUGAUGCGCGCGUUGUUGAAGCGCUGAAUGUACUUCUGUAGGGUNNNNNNNNNNNNNNNNNNNNNNNNNNNNNNNNNNNNNNNNNNNNNNNNNNNNNNNNNNNNNNNNNNNNNNNNNNNNNNNNNNNNNNNNNNNNNNNNNNNNNNNNNNNNNNNNNNNNNNNNNNNNNNNNNNNNNNNNNNNNNNNNNNNNNNNNNNNNNNNNNNNNNNNNNNNNNNNNNNNNNNNNNNNNNNNNNNNNNNNNNNNNNNNNNNNNNNNNNNNNNNNNNNNNNNNNNNNNNNNNNNNNNNNNNNNNNNNNNNNNNNNNNNNNNNNNNNNNNNNNNNNNNNNNNNNNNNNNNNAUUUUGUCCCGGGAGGAAAUUGAGCCUGGAGGCAGGUUCAGGAGCCAGGAGCGGGGACCAUCCUUGAGAGCCAUGGGAAACCAGUUUGCCAUGACUUUCUCGUCGCCGUUGGCCGCCUCGAUGCUCAGCUCGUAGAGCUGUAGGAACUCCGCGGGGUCGGGGGUGUCGUCGUAGCGAGGAGGCAGGUCUGGCUUGAACUUGCCUGGCCAGGCGACGCUGCGUAGCUCGGGGGUGAAGGCGCGGCAGCUGGCCGUGGUUACCGGGGCCUGCCUUGGAGGUGGAGCCUGGCCUUGGCGCCCGCGCGCUGCUACGGCCAACGGCGCGGGGCCUUGCCGCAGCAAACGAUCCUGGCGCGGCAGAGCGAGGAGUGGCGGAGCGUUCGCCUGCGGUCAAGGGACUUCUUCACAGUUUCUUUCUUUAUGCGCGGGCGCCGGACGCGGUGGGUCGCGCCACGGAGCCGCAUGCCUUGGCGCUAGGGCGCCGUCUUGGGGCAGAGGUGGUGUAGGUGCUUCAUGAGCAGCGUCGCCCGUGGCUGGCGGAGGGCGAGGCAGAGAGUGGGACGGUGCAGGGGAGCCCCCUGCGACACGGACAAGCUCGGCGAUGCGGUCAAGCCAGUCCUCAUAGAGGUCGUCGACCGGGCGGUAGCGCGGGAGCUCGUGCGCCAUGAGGAGCGCGGCCCGUGCGUCCGUGGGAACAUGACGAGCGUGAGACGAGGAACCAGCGGGAGUCAGCGAUGGAGUGGCAGUGCGGCCGUCCUGUCGCGCCGAGGGGUGCAGCGAGGAUGCUUGCUGCUCGUUCCCCGCCGGGCCGGUGGCGGCGUUGGCGGCAGGCGACGGAGAGCGAUGGGGUGGCCCGCCGACAGGGGCCGUCUGAGCAACGCGGGUGGCGAGGGCAGCCCGGCGCUCGGCAUGGGCGCGACGCACGUCCGCCAUGGAGACGAUGAAGCGACGCGACACGGAGCGACAGAAGGGAAGCUUCGGCGCACCCCUACCUGGCGCGUCAAAUGUCGGAUCACGGGUUCCGGCAAAACCCUUAAGGUUCGAAGUCUGGGGUGCGCGUGAAUACCUCCCCCCCUAUCGAUCCGCGUCCUAACUUAGCCUAGAUCUCACGAACUAACUCGACGAACUCGCAACACAAAGGACACAAGAUUUAUACUGGUUCGGGCCACCGUCGUGGUGUAAUACCCUACUUCAGUGUGGUGGUGGAUUGCCUCUUGAGCUGAGGAUGAACAGUACAAGGGGAAGAACAGCCUUCUCAGGUUGAGGUGUUCUUGUGCUUGGUGCACUUGUGUGGCUGAGGAUGAUCUUGGAUUCUCCCCGCCUAUGGUGGUGGCUAGUCCUAUUUAUAGAGGCCCUGAUCCACUCCCCAAAUAUUGAGCGGGAAGGGAGCCAACAACGGCCAAUUUGAAAGAGGACAGCUAGUACAAGCUAUCCUGACAAAAGGUGGUCUUCGCCUGCCAAAGGUUCUGGUGGUGACGCCGUCCUGGGCUCCAUGGUGACCUCCGUCUUGUCGUCCUUCUGGUAUGGGUCUCGUUGCACCAAUAUGGAAAUCUUUGCUUGAUGCCUCGGUACUCCGCACCUGCGCUUGCCUCCUUAGCACCAAAGGGAAAACAAGGACGUUGUGCACGCUGGCGCCCGCCUGGUCUCGAUCAUUAUGGCUUACGUCAUGGAAACCUCACGAGGUUUGCCCAACCUUGAACUCUCCACCCCUCAAAAGCCGGCCUGAUGAGGCUGCUCCUGAGAAGGUCUUGUGUCGUCCGCCUCGCAAGGCUUGGCCCCUCGCGAGGGUCUUGAUUUCUUGUUGAUGAAGAUGGGUCGUACGGAACUGCCAGCAAAGCCACGCCGUGGGCUGCAGGCAGGCAAGUCUGGGACCCCCGUUCCCAGAACGCCGGCAGACUUUUGUCUUAAUGUGUUCCAAAGCUUGUGUAAGUAAGAUGCUAUCCUACACAUCAUUCUUUGGAGGAACACACCAAUGUGAGCCCGACUGCUGGUCACGGUCUAUGACAUUGGGCAAUCUCUAGGAAACUCAUGAGAAGGUCAGGAGUAUGACUAAUAAGCUCCACCCGUGAAGUUUAGCCUUCGGGAUCCACGUAUCAGCUGACAAUAAGCAAAACUUCUGCACGCCAAACUGAUAAUUCAGGGCAUAGUCCAUUAUUCAAUUGUGAAGAAGUCCAAUCCUGUUGUUCUAGGUGAAAGUUCAACUUAACAGUCUUCACUAAAAAUUCCGAUAUAUCAAACAUUGUUUGGAACAGUUGACAAACUUAUGUGCAUCAAGAUCUGGUGGGGGAUUGUUGAAUCAUAGAUGUGCUUUAGGCCCAUAUGAACAAUGAUUUCUAGUUAAUCUUGAGGCCAUGUAGGUAUAUGGCACGUGAUGAGAAGUUUAGCACCACCUUGCUAGUUGAGGACAGUUGAGUCCUUUUUAUAAGGGAUGCUCUACCACUUGCCAUUCGGAUCUUGGGAAGGGGAGUUGUACACGCAUUCCUCCUCCUCCACUGCCCGCCUCGUCACGAUAUGCGUGUGCGCGCCGUGGGUUACGGGAAUGAGCCGAGACGUUGGACCAUGGGUUGUUUGCAUUCCUGGGAUAUGGCGACUCCCUUAGUGGGUGUGCGACUCUUCUCUGGGAACGACGACUCCCUUCCCGAGUUUGCGUCGACUUGGUCGUGGGCCUAAGCCCAGGCCCAUGACUUCCUACCCGACGGCCUAUAUAAGGAGGCGCUGGCCUGUGGAGUGAAACCUAACUCACUCACUCCCUACAUAACCCUAGCCCCCAUCUACUUUUCCUCCCACUUUGCUGCUUCCGGUAUUCCCAUCCUUACGACUGCAUGCACGGUUGGUCGGGAGAGCAGGUGCCUUCGGAACCCUGUCUUCCGAGAUCUUGCCCGGGAGAACGGCAAUAAGUUUUUUGGGGAGUGUCUCGACAUGAUUGCUCCCGAUACAUCCCCGUCUCCAUCCGCCUCUGCUUUCAUUACUUCCUCUGCAUCGACUCCAUGGCUGAUGACGAUGCCGCCAAGAAGAAGGCCUCAGACGAUGACGAGGCUGCCGCUGCCGCGUUGGUCUUGCCAAUCGGAGGGUAUGACCCGUUCAUCCUCUAUUUGCCUGUUUAUGUGCUAGCCGUAUAUAGCAAUUUGGAACGCAAAUUGCGUUUUAACAAGUCUCACUAUUCUAAGUUUUUAGAAGAAAUGGCCUUUAUUUUUUAUUUUUUAUGGGGUUAAUAAAUAUUAAUCAUAUUUAAUUUAAGAAAUGAGAGAAUUCAGAAUAGCUACAAGGAAGACUAGUCCAAUCCAUAAUGUUUUGUUUAUAGAUGUUUCGCUUCUAUAUACUGGAUGUGCUCACAUGAUUAGGUAUCGGUAUGAGCUGCAUACUGUGAUUGCCAUGCUUAUUAUCUACUCUUGGAUUAGAUUUGUUCAAAAGGUGCUAAUAUUUACAGCAAUUCUUUCCAACUUAUUAUAUCUCCUAUACCUUAAACAGAUUGUAGGUAACAAAACUUGGCAAAUAUGUUGGAGAUGCUCUAGCCUUGUGACGGAUUUUUGCGGUACGUCUGCAGACUGCUAUACACAUACUACCAUUGAUUGGGCAGUUUUUUACAGUGGUGUGAUUAAUUAUGGAGAUGUCUCCAGUGAGGGGCAGGCAGCAGAGGAGAAGCCAUUACACAAUAACUCUGCAGGUGGCUUUAAACCGCAGAUGGCUAUAGCUAGGCGCGCGCAUGCGGGGGGAGGGAAGUGCAUAUGCAUGCAGAUGAUGCAUGUGUGUGUCCGUCCACUGGGAUAUUAUGGUGCAUUUGUAAGCACGCAGAAAUCGCAGACGAUGGGGUGCAGCCCUAGAGAUGCUGAAAUAAAUCGAGCUAGCCAAGGAGUACGUACUCCUCCUCCUCCUCCUCCUUAGCUACUACUACUAUCGACGUCUCUUGGCGAAAUCAAUCCGGCCCUGCGUGACGCAACGAGGAGCUAAGUUGCACUUGAAUUGCAUUGCAUUGCACCGCAUGCCAUUACUGCAUGCAAUGCCCCAACUGCAUGCAUUCAUGUGGAUUUGUUACUAUCUCUACGUGCCGAAUUCAAGUCUUCAACCGAACUAGCAUACCUUCAACGACAGCAACACCAAAAAGAUCUCAAGGGAUUUUCUUUCUGCCCGAUCGAGAGGUUUUAGGAUAUUAUGUAUCUCUGUUUUUUGCACCUUAAUAAUCUCCAUUUUGAUCAGGCCGUGCCUUGAGAAAGCCAUGGGUUGCUUGUGCAAGGCAGCGGAUCUAUUUCUUCCGAGACAUGCAUCCGACCUCCGUGCAGACGCACUUGAAGUGCAGCUCCCGCGCCCAGAGAUUUGUCCGUCGUACUAUAUAAUUGUGUAAUGAUGCCCUUGUUUAUCCUGCUUUUACUUCCUUCCAGUGUGUGUGUCAGCCCCUGCAGUGAAGCACCGGCGCCUGUACUUUGCAGAGGGCGAUGCUGCUGUGUUUCGCCAGUCCAUGCCUCACCCGACAGUCGAUCUGAGCCGUAGGUUCUCGAUCGGAUAGUGCUCACGACACCUGAAGAUUACUCGACGACGAACAGAGCUAUGCAAAUCGUACGCAUGCAAGGCUCAAAUACUUGGUUCGAACCCUCGCACCUCAGGAUCCAAAGCGGGGACGGGUUUCACGGACAAUAUCACGGCAGUACAAAAUUAGUGUUAACUUGGCAGGUAGUAAUUGAUGCGUUUCGCGGGAUAAGUGGGCCGCCGCUUGCAUCGAUAUAUUACUCGCACCCUACCUAAUUAAGCCCUUGAAUCCCUAAAAAAAAUUAAGUCCUUGAAGAAAAAACAGAAAAACAUGGUGAAAACACAGUUGACUAGUACAAAUUAUUUGGAGACAACCAUCGCUAGCUUAGCUGCUGCAUACCGUUAGUUAGGUCUUGCAUUUCUUCAGCAAACAGGGGAUUACAAACUUAGAAGACCACUGCUACUACAACACCAAUCGGAAACUAGCAAUAACGCUAAUUAAACUGACCAACCCAUUGCAACCCAGCAACACAAAGGAAAGUAACUACUUAAGCUAAGUAGCCUGCUACUCAGAGACCCACCCUGUCCAGUGGAUGAUCCGACGGCGGUCACUCCCUCCUCCAGCCCCAAGAUUCGCGCAUCGCCUGAUCGAGCUAACCAUCCGUGUGAGCAUCCACUGGACGGGCACGCGCCCGCACCACCGUUGAUUUUUCU